rnacentral:lncRNA from 1 species
AAGCCACCAACUCAGAGAAAAUUGCUGCUGGCCGAGGCAGAAGCACACCGCACUAGCUGUUGUUCUUGUUUCCUUCCGCGUCGCCAGAACAGGCAUUGGGUUUGCUGCGCUUGCCGAUGAAUUGCUGCUGAACUUGAGUUGUUAUGUAUGAUAGAUGUUGUGAGUGACUCCCCAGUAACUGUGUUGUUGAGAAUUUGCAAUUGUACUUAAUAAUGUGUUGUUGAUCGGAUUGAUAUAUUGAUGAUGUUGUUGACCGGAUUGUUAUGUUAAUUUUUCCAUUGGAACUUCUUAUUAUUUGCUACUCAGCUGUGGAGUGCAUUUGUAAGUCCUGCAUAUUUCCUGUUGCUGCUUUGGCGUUUGGUAGGCCUUUGCUGUGCUUAAAUGUUUUUGAGCUGCACCAUGUCCUCGAUUUCCUGUGAAGGCUGCCUCUUGUGCUAAUUUCUAGUAUCAAACUUCACACCUGAGUAAUUAUUAAGGGUCACAACUUACUGUUACUGCUGUCAGGUAAUUUUCAUAUUUUUGUUCUAAUGUUUAAUUCUCUGUUGAUAGAAAUGUUAUCCACGUGAAUUUCUCGCUUUUGAGUUAUCCAAAUGAAAUACAGUACAUGGGAAGACAUGUUUUCAGUAAAGGACCUGUGGUCGUGUUGAGCGAUGCUCACACACAACAACGGCAAGUUUAUUCAUCCAUUUUAUUUACUCAUAGAGUAUUCCUCGAGAUUAUUUAUCAGUAAUCACAUGCACACAGGCAUGCAUCGAGGACUGACGCUAGAUUUAGAUCUUAGUAUGUUGUUACUGCGUUACUUGCUGGAUCAAAAGCCCUUCAACGAAGGGCCUCUGGUUGUAGCAGUCGAGGUUGCUCCCGUAGCCGACGCCAAGGAUGUUGCAGUAGCGCUGGUAGAACCCGAUCCGGUCGGCAACACGGCUGUCCUGCCCCCUGCCGCACUCGAGCCCGCCGUUGAUGAUGUUGGUGAUGACGCCAUAGCCAGGCACCCUUCCCGCCGCGUUGUCGGCAGCCGUUGGCGUCCACUGGCCCGUGAUCACGGUGUGGGAUGACGGCUUGUUCGCUUGCGGCGUCAUCCAGAACCACAACGCCGUCUCGAACGACACCGUGGCAUCGGUCGCCACCAGGUCCGGGUUGUUGAGCAGGUCCACGCCAAUGGCGCGCCCCGCGGGGCCGUAGUUGUAGUUCCCGGAGAGCAUGAUGGGGCCGCGGCCGUAGUACUGCCUUCCUUGUGCGCACGGCCACUCCGACGAUGGCUGGCAGUAGUCGGGCGGUGAGCCCAGCUCCCGCUUGUAGCAAUAUCCCCAGGAGUAGGGGCCGUCGGGUGCGGUGGCCCACCCGCCGGUGGUCUCGUGGGAGGUCUGCCCGAAGAAGGCUGCCACCUCCUGCUUCCGCGUCUCGGUGCUCCCCGUGGUGCCGAAGGCCGGGAACGCGGCGGCCGCGGCCAGGAAUGCGUCGUACGUGUAGAACCCGCCGGCAUCUGUGCACUGGUUGCUGUGGAGCAGGAACUGCUGGAAGAUGUCCCUUGACGAUCAACUCCACGUUCAAUUUGAUCCUCUAAUCACGGCGAGGCCCUCACAGAGAAAAUCACGGGCUCAUGCAGGUGCUAUAUUGCUUGCAUGCUGUAGAAAAACGGCCAAAGGAAGAAACAUCACGGUACAGAGAAAAUAAUGGCUAACAGCCGCGCCACCCAGAUCACUUUCCAUAGCAGGUCGCCCUUCGACGCCCGCGCUAUCGCAUGUCGCCCACCUCGCCACAGUCGUGCGCACGUCACCCACCUUGCCAGCGCACCCGUGCACGUCGUCGCUGGUAGUGGUUGGCCGGUCCGCUCGAUCCGGCCCGGGCUUCAGUGCCGCCGGUCCGGUCCUUGAAACCAGGACCGCGAGGCUGGUCGGUCCGGUCCGGUCCGGACCGCCGGCGGCCGGUCCAAACGGUGGCUCGGUCAGGGACCGGACCGGCCCGGACCGUGUCCACCCUGAGAGAUGAUGGACGACACGCCCCCGCCGGGGCUGGGUCCAGGAGGAGUGGGGCCGCAGCCGCUGCACUGGCUCUGGCAGCCGGCACCGCAGUAGUCGGAGGUGCUGCCACAGUAACCGAAGCGGCUGCAGCAGAGGCAGUUCGGGCACGUCGCGCCGCCGGCCUGCGAGCCACACUGCUGGGCGCGGGCCGCCGUAGCGAGCGCCGCCGCCAGGACGAUGGCCAGGAUGGCCGCCACCCUCCUCGGGCCUCUCAUUCUCAGUGUAGGCACGGUCUGGUUGAUCUUGAUGCCUGCUGAUAGAUUAUGGCGCCAACCUAGAUCCGCUAUUUAUAGAUCAAUUCUAUGCGUGGAAAAUCGGUUGAGCCGUGCCGUGCUACUCACUCGCUGCUCGUUGGUUGAAGUCUGGACGUGUCACGAGUUCCCCUUAUCAUCUUCAUCACUACAGGACCAUGUGACACGUCUUCUCUCAUAAAUUGUUGAAAUGUACCCAACAAUCACCGAUCAACCACGUCUGAUUGAUGAAUUAGUUCAUACUGAUGAACCAUGUGGCACAUCUUCAUUGAACCAUGUGACGAAGAGGUGCACUGUUGGGAUUUGAGCGCAACAAAAAAGAGGACAGGAUUAGCCUGUAUAUUGUCCUGUUCCUAAAAGUUAUACUGAUCUGCUCAAAUUUGGUGUCGUCUACUCCUACUAGUGUAUACACAUGGGAUUAGGUUAAAAAAUGAUGAUAAAAUUAGCUUCUACUAAAAAGAACAUGUAAUGCAACUUUGCGAUGUGUACUAUAUAUAGUGUAUUACACAAGGGUCACAGAUAGUGCGGGCCUUGGCCCUUGGGGGCUAUUGGUGUGCCUGGCCGUCUUCCAAGGUCUGGUGAGGCUGUUGUGGGUCCCUUUGGGCGAAAGCUUAAGUCCUUGACAAGGGGCGAUGACGGCGGCGACGAAACCAUGGGCGUCAUUAUCCUUCUCAAAGGCGUCUUCGAAGAGUUCUCCCACUAAUCUCUGGAUUGUGGGCAUGUUGGUGGUGGAGUUUUGAGUUGGCCGGUGUCGGUACUGCUUUAUUAAUUUAAAUCCGAGCACCCCUUGUGCAUUUUAUCUAAAAUAGAUUUGUUAUCGGUGCUCGCACAUUCCUAGAUUUAUUUCAGGAUUUAACGACUUUAUUCUUUCAGUGGUAAGUGAUGUUCCCAACAACAAUAACUCAUAUCUGGUAACUUCGUCAAUCUCAAGACUCAUCGCCUCAGUCUCUUGGAGAUAUCAUAGGGAUGGGUGUGCAUGCAUGCGCUCGUAGAUGUGAGUGUGUGUGCACGUGUGAGAACCUGCGCAUGUACUGUUUCUCUAAACAACCAAUAUGCACUCCAUAUUUUUAUUCUAACUAGUAAGAUGCCCGUGCGUUGCACAGAACACCGGGAUGCAUUGAUACAAAAGUAGUUUAUUUGACAAAAUAUGUGGAGGGUCCUCUCAACUAUUAAAAAUAUCCAUACCUUUCUUCGGAUCAACUAUUAAAAAUAUCCAUAUCUUUCUUCAGAUAUUCAGUUAUGUUGCUGAGCUCAUAAGCAUCAGGGGUAUAGUGAAUACAAAUGAAAAUAGGCAAACACGUUCAAGUGUUUUAUCUGUAUGCAAAAUUCAUGAAAUAUCGCACACAGCUAGAACAAUCCAACAUGUUUGUUUCCGAAACAUUAAGACUUCGUUGAAUUUUACUGCAAUUAUUUGAGCUCAGGAGCCAAGUUCAUGUCUCAACUUUCUUCUUCUAUUUCCACAGUAAUCGGGUAAAUGAUUAGGAGGUACACAGAAUUAAAGUCUAAUGGGUAAGGACACUAUUGUUGCUCUAGCGCCCCUUCCCUUACCAAUCUGGAUCCUACUCCACGGCUGUAAGAAAACACAAAUUUUCCUUAAAAAGACUUUACGCGACUUUCUCCGGUAAAAGCUUCACCUCCGUCAUGUUUGCUCUGCAGUUGCACUUGAACGUCUCCUAACUCAUACUCUGUAUUGUCAAGAAAAAACUCCACUCUUCGUCAACUCCUCUAGAUACUUAUAAUUGUGCAUCAAGCUUGUAACCUUUGCAUGAAUAAUUACAACAUAUACAAAAAUAUAACAUUUCUAAUGAUGGCCAUAUGUUGCAUCUCUUUCCACACAGGCUUUUCUCUCGACCUUGUGUUGCCUCCCCUGUGCACAUGGUGUCCCAUCUCACAAUCAUAGAUACAUAUUGUGAAUUAGUAACAAUUCUUGUUUCACAUAUCAGAUGGGUAUUACAAAGUUGCAACUUAUUUCUACAUUUCACUGUCAGUUAGCACUUCCAAGCAGAAACCUUCUGCAAGUGGAUGCUCACUGUCAAUUAACAACAUACUUGAGUUGUGGUUUGAACUUCUAACUACAACUGCAAGGUAAAAAUUGAAUUGUAUAGCAAACAGACCUUUUCUCGGCAUACAUCACAUUUUCAUGUAUCCGUACAAAUUCCGACUCAAGCUGUAGCUUGAACAUAAUCUUUGCAGGGCUCAGGCGGCUCCUGACCAUCCACAGCUUGACAGACUAAUUCACAAGGUGGAAGACUGAAAGUACUUAUACUGAUCUACACAUAUGUUUACAAGAUUAUAUGGCGUAUAUUAUCUCUACUACUGUCGAUGUCGACAUCAAGGUAGAUGUUUGGCUGGAACUACAACUUCUGGAAUUGCUAAGCUGAAUGACCAACAACAUAUCUGAAUUGUCAUUGUGAAAUGCAAUUUAUUGACCUUAGAUAUACAAACAAAUGCUCAAUGUACAGAAGGCAAUGCUUCUUGCAGGCAACCUUUGCUGUAUAUAUAUAUCAUUAGAUUGCUGCUUAAUAGAACAGACUUUCAGCCUCUUCUUACAUUACAUAAAGCAAGAUUUGACUAUAACACCAUGAAAACCAGUCACCUACUGCCUGGUACUUAAGCCAAGAACUCUGUGCUUAGUAAGAUCAGGAUCUUCUGGCAAUUUUUUUUUGCAUAUUUCAGUUAUCCUAAAAACAAUCACAUGAUGAUUCUUAUGCUUAUUGUAAUUACCUUCCUUAGUGAGAAACACUUUUUAAAAUGCAGUAUUGCUUAUAAGAUCAAGCACAAUCGCUUUUUUAAAUGCAAUAGUAUUUUCUGCAAGUUAAACUAUCCUGAAAAACAGACACCAAAUCACUUCAGUAUAAACACAAAAAUGAAUUGAAAGCAAUGAUCACUUGACAUUCAGCGAUUGUCGUGGUCAUUCAGGUUGAUGCUAGAGGAGAGGCAAUGAAGGAAUGCGCACCAAACUUAAAUGAGAAGAUAAAUGGCAGCAAUGAAUAUAUCGAAAAAGCAUAUAUAUAUAAUAGCAUGAGCACACAUUUAUAAAUGGUUCCAGGACAAACAAGAACGAAGUAGACGUGUUUGACUGAACACUUUGCUACAUAUGCACAGGGAACAUGAAUUUGUGUACAACACCACCACGAAUCUACAAAUAGGCCAUGGAAUCAUUUGUCAACCAUAGUAUGCCCUUCUUUAGUUGUUUGCUUAGAACAUAUGUGAAAAACAAUAUUGGCUCUGAAGAUCUUGCCUCAUCUAUCUUCUCACCUAAAAGGGAAUCAGACAAUCACUACUUAAACAUAACGGCCUGUAGUAUACCAGUCCCAUGGGAAAACGGGUAUCCAGAGCGCAUAAGCCAGUCCAGCAUACAGAUGUAAAGCAUCUUAACAAAAAAUAAGCAAGGAGAUUCACCUUCAGAUUGGCGUGACGAGCGUGUGGCUCUUGAGGUGUAGUUCAAGCAGCUUGAGUCCCAUCUGCCUACCCAUUUGAUUUAUAUUGGACUGCAACUCUGCAAGACUGGCUUCUAGAGACUUCGACCUGGGCGCGCGAAUUGAACUCUGGGUAACGGGUGGGAGGGAUGAGGAUUGGGAAGGAGAGGCAGUAGCCAAGCAUAGCACCUCCACGUGGGGCGCUUCAGUGACAGUGGGGAAGGAGGAGGAGGAGUAUGCGGAGGCGCCGCCGCCAAGGAAGCAACACGUAGCCGGUGGAGGUCAGCGGCAGGAGACGGGGAAGGGGGUGGAGGAGAUGGCGAGGAGGAGGGGGCUGUGGAGAUGUUGGGCGCUGGGACUAAUGCGCAGAGGAGGGGGCAGGAGAUGCGUCGCCUGCAUGCUUGCCAAGGUCGGCAUCGGAGAAGAUGGGGAUGGGGGUGGACGAGAUGGUGAGGAGGGGGCCAUGGUGUUGGUGGGCCGUGUGGCUGAGAGGAUGCAUGAGAGGUUCCGGGGGCACACGGCGUCGGCGGGAGCCACCGCGCCAGAUCGGUUCCAGAGUUGCCUUUCCUGAGGUGAUUGGAUGAGGUGGGCGUGGGGAAGAGAUGAGGGCCAUGGGGCUGAACGGGAAAGGCAGGGGGUUAUCCGCAAAUAUGUGACGGAAGUGGCGGGCGUCCGUUUGCAAAAUUGACCACAUUUCACCGUGUGCGUCAGAUCAGAUCGAUCGGACGGUUGUAAAUGCACGACGGCAGACACACCAUCACCACCAACUCAGAUCUUACAUUCUUAAGAAGUUGCUCCCCACUUCUACCCAUUUUCUCAACAUGCACACUGUACACAUCAGCUCCAUGCCACGUCAGAGUUCAUUUUUUUAUUUUUUGUUUUCGCGAAGAGCAGCCAUUUCCCCAGCCUUAACUCCAUGGAAGAAAUAAAAGAGAAUAAUAUCUUUCCCUGGCACCGACCGAACAAUUAUUACUCGACCUCUUUUCCUCCCCGUCUCUUCGUUACUCCCUUCCCCACCCUUCCCCUCCCUUCCCCUCUCUGUGGUGCAACGCCGGAGGGUGGUUCAAAUCCGCUGAUGAGAGGCACCUCAACGAGACUACUCCCGCGUCUCCACCGGUCGCACCGCCUUGAACGCCCGCGGAUCCGUCCACCUGCGCUGGCGUGCCGGACACCGACCAGAUUCUUCCUACGGUCAAACUGCUUGCCUUCUCAUCUUCUCCAAUAACUGAAGAUACGCAAUGGAGAUAUCUGAAACUGUCGGUGCACACUCAAUGGGCACCUGAGGAGACACGCAAUCGACAUUAUCUUAUCCUCCUUGAUACGCAUCUAGCCAGUAAGUUCCUCAUCUAGCCUCUGCACAAAUUCUCUUUACUCUGCUGAACUUGCAUAUAGCGCACACAACCGGUGUCCUAAUCUCCUCCAUGUUAGUACAUGAUAUUUAUGUUGUGUGGCAUCUUCUUUUGCUCAUUCCUUAGUGUUUCCAAUGCUGACUUCAUCCUCUUUUUCAGGUUGAGUAUCCCAAUCAUCAUAUAUUGAAACUUACAUUGGACACAUAUAUAGUUCCUGAACAAUUUCCAGUUUUUCUUUGGUGUUGUACUUUUAUCUGUUAGUUUGCAUCUCAAUUAUGGCCUUGGUUUUGUUUUCAAGUUUAUAAUUGCACCUUUCUAUACAAUUUGAUAACUUUUCUUCUAUAUAAUGUAUCUCACCUCCAUCGACGGAAGACUGCGCAAGAUGGACUGAUCAACGAUGUGGUGGUUGCUACACCAGUCUGGUACCUCCACAAGGAGGAGGAGGAGUUCAGUUGAGGUGAGAAUGGAGGCUUGGUAUUUCCCAUAAUGUUGACUGAUUGGAUCAUACAUUGAAUCAGUGCGGAAUCCUAAUGUCUCUUUCUUUGAGGUUUCAGUGGUCAAGGCUACAUUUCAAAGCUAAUCAUUUUUUUCUAACAUCUGUGUGCAGUAGAUUAAUCAGGUCAGUUGACCACAAAUCUAUUUGUCCACGUUGAUUGUAUCACUAUGGUAGUUAUUUUCCUGCCGAACUAUCAAAGCAUUCUUCAUUUGUCUUUCUCUAAUAUACUAGCUAUACGAAAUAAUUUCUUUUGUAGAGACCGAGUGACACUACCAUGAGCUACUUGCGGCUGCUGCCUUUUCCCCCUCAACCAUGGGAAUCGCUGGUGUGCCUACGUGAUCCCACAGUAGGUCUUUGUUCUCCAAUGAGUAUCUAAUCCGCAAAUUUAUUUGUGUUCUUUUCCAUGAUACGCACAGGUGGUGCUUGGACAGGGGCAUGAGCCUCACAUGAAUCACACUACCAUUUUAAAAUCUGAUGAAUUUAUUGAUUUAUGGCUUUAUGCUUUACAUUCUUAUCUGAAACUAUUGCAAGCUUUCUUGAUUGAUGGACGAUGUGUUGCAAAAUGUCUGUUAUCUACCAAAUUUGAAAAUUGUUGAAACGUAAAAAUCUCUCUCUCUCUCUCUCUCUCUCUCUCUCUCUUGGAGUAUUUCGAAUAUUUGCCAGUUGUCACUAUCUUUACUCACUCUAUACAAUUAUAUUUCUUAGUCCCCCCUAUCUCAAAUUUUCAGAUAAAUGCUAUUUUUUAUUGACAGUGACUCGAGCAUAGCACCUGUGUUGCAGUGUUAUAUAAUAGGAAAUACAAGGAAAUAAACAGAAGUAAGAAGAAACAAGUACCUAAAAGGAAGUUUUGGAUUCAAGUGAGACCCCAUUUUCCCAAAUAUAGUUACUGAUAGUAUUUUGUUUUUUGUUUCAUAUAUGGCAAUCAUCUAAUGUAUCUGCCAACAUUCAGAUUGCAUAAAAAAACGGAUGGGGAGAGCAAACUUGGUACACUAUGUAUUCCUUUUUCCUUCGAGGGCUUCAGGUCACGUGUCGGUCAUUUAUGUUUGGUGGUUUCUGAUUGUACUUCAGAAGAAGAAAAAUUAGUGACCGCCAUAUUCUACAUAUGCAUGUACGGAAUAUCAAAGAUGUAACAUGUUCAUUUUGUUGUUAGGUAUGCAGAUAAUUUGUAAAUCUAUUGUAUCUAAAUGUGGUCUAGAUUGUAACAACUUCUGUGAGCAUCUAAAUGUUCCAGUUGUUAUUACAAAUUGAAAAGUUUCAUUACAAAAUUUAAAGCUUUCAGCUUAACCUUAAGAGCGACAUGAAAGGUUGACUUUAUUAUUUACAAUUAUUUAGGUAGACUUUGUUUUUUUCCUGAAUGGUCAAAGCAUGAGCUGAUAGCACAUACAUGUCGCCUCCACAUUAGUACAUUAUUUGCUAUGACAUGUAUAUAGUAUAUUUGGUUUGUUUCCUUGCAAAUUCAUUGCUCGAGAUUCCUGCGGCAACGUGCGGGGAAACAAAUAAUGAGGCUUAAAUAAUUAUUAAAUUUGUUAUUAAUUAAACUUAAUAUGAUCAAAUGAUGUUCUCAAACUUAAAUCUUUUGCAAUAUAUCAACAUGCCAACACGGCAACAAUGCACUUAUCGACUAUAACACCCAUUUUUCUGACUUUUUAUAUCAUUCUGCCAAAUGUUGAAAAAAUAUAAUUAUAUAUUCAUUUUAUGGCUAUUUAUCGCUCCAUAAAUCCACCUCCUAUAAGGUGCUACAAAUUCCCGCAGCAACGCGCGGGGCGUUAUCUAGUUUUUAUAGUAGUAGAGACACAUACUACCAUCUAUGAAAUGGCUAUUUGAUGGGCGACUAGAAACGUUCAGAAUCAACAGAGUUGUACUAUAAUUUUCCUCCAUUAAUGUGAGUGGCAUGUGGAAAAGACGCAAAGUCACAGUGUUGUUGCUUCGAUGUGUCGUUUAGGUCAUCUCCAAUGGCUAUAUGGUUGUUGGUAACAUUAUCACAAGGAACAUGUAAUGAUGCAGCAUAAAAAUAAAGAAGUAAAAAAAAUCAAGGUUGUAUAUAUGUAUGUUAACCAGACAAUCUUGCACAAGCUGUGAUGUAUAAAUAGAGAGUAAAUUUAUACUUUUCUCUCACCUUCUAUUGGACAACUUAGACAUGCUCUAUUCGAAUAAUUGAAUGAUGGCUUAUUGGUUGAUGGCAUAGACAGUAUUACCAACAAAGUAACACACGAAGUUGCUCUUAGACAGAAUGGAGAGAGCGAAUAAUGGAACUGUUGGAAGGGUACCAUAGUUCCAUAGUGUUGAAGUGUUGGAGCGAACCAAAAAUGACUGUCAAUCUCUAGAAACAUUUCUGUGUCAUCAAGACAUCAACAACAUUUUUGUCAUGUCGUCUGCCAAAGUAUUGAUUAAAAUGAAAGUGGCUUGGCACGUGUGCAUGCUGUGAAGAUGAGCCCGUAAGGUAGAGUUCAUAGCAGGAAAUCCCUAGCCGCUAUCCGCUCGUGUGUGCAGGGAUCCUGAGAUAGGCAACGACUGCUAGACACGGUCUAAAUGUGUGUAUUCUAACUGCAUGUACAGUGCAACCUAAACUUCGUAUGUGUCUUAGAUUGCAUCUUUAUAGGGUCCUAGAUGUAUUCAGUUCAAGCUGAAUUUCAAUUCAGUUUAGGAAAGAGUUUGCAUAUGGUAUGUAAGCUAGACGGGAUGCAUGUAAAAGCCAGGACAGUUUCGUGUUGGGCACGUUGCCACACCGUGAGAUACAAAGGCUAAUAAAUGUAGUUUUUUAUUUCUUAGUUGCAUGUUUUUUUGCUUCUGUUCGAGUCAAUCUUUUCCUUUGUUUUAGUCUUUCUCUCUGUGUGUGUGUGCUCUUGUGUGUGUGUGUGUGUGCGCGCGCGCGCGCGCGUGUGUGUGUGUGUGAGAGAGAGAGAGAGAGAGAGAAAUGGGGGGUAACAUCUCCAACAGGCAAAAAUCAUUGUUCUGACAUGUGGACCAAACAAUAUCACAAAAUGAACCGUUGGCGAAUUUUUUUCUCCCGGCUGAGUCUUUUGUGUAGUGCCCGAUAAUUAGGCACCAUACUACACUGUACAACGUCUGACUGACAGGCGCUACAUGCCUGGCUAGCAUCGCACGCCGGGCUGCCUGAAAAAUGUUAAGUCAGUUUGUAACGCCUGAGAUUUAGGCUCUACACUAUAUGCUGGCCAGGCAUGUAGCGCAUGUCAGUCUGGCGCUGCAAAGUAUAGUGUGGCGCCUAGUUGUCAGGCACUACACAAAAGGGUCAGCCGGAUGAAUUUUUUUGUCAACAAUUUAUUUUGUGAUAUUGUUUUGUCCACAGGUCAAAUUUGUCGUUUUUGCCUCUCCGACAUGAGAUGCAGUUAACCUUUAGCAUGUCAAGGGAUGGUCAAUCGCUAACUGUUGUUCGAACACUCGAGAUAUACAUGAAAGUUUUACAAUUUGUGUGCAUAUCAUACUAUUCUAUGAAAGUUACAUUAUUGCAUGGUUGUUCUUGCAUAUUGUAAGAUUUAUGCAAUCUGUGCAAGUUUUUAAAUCAUUUGCUAUAAGGUUUCCUUUUCCUUUUUUUUUACUUCUUUCAGGGUAGUACCAGUUCCCUUAAUUGACUAUAUUUUAGAUCGAAUAAUAUCUUUUAGUUUCAAUUUAGUUUACUGAUGAAAGGAAGUGACUCAUACGGAAACAAGUUAGGCAACUUGCCAAUACAAGUCCCAUAUAAACGUGAGAAAACCAAUGAAAUUUACUGACUUUGCUUGGAGUCGUUCAUGCAUCAUUUUCACAUAGAACCAUGCAUAAUUUUGACGCGUGGUGGACGAAUAAUCAUUGCAUUCAUUCAUCUAACACUGAUGAUUUAUUGGAGGCCCUGGGGACUUAGCUAGUCACGAGAGGAGUAUGUAGGCCGAUACAGACAAGACGGUGUUGUUAUCUUGUCAUGUUGCAAGAUAUAUAGGAAAACAAAAUUUAGAUAGAGACAGGACUUAGCUAGCUAGAUACUCCCUCCGGUCCUUUUUACUCUGCAUAUUAGGUUUGUCCGAAGUCAAUCUCAUCCAAUUUUGACCAAGUUUAUAUAAAAAAUUACAGACAUUCACAUAACAACACCAAUAUCAUUAGAUUCAUCUUGGAAUAUAUUUUCAUAUUAUAUUUAUUAGAUAUUAUAGAUGGUAAUAAUUUCUAAUAUAAAUUUGGUCAAACUUAGCAAAGUUUGACUUUCGGUAAAUCCAAUAUGCAGAGUAAAAAGGACCGGAGGGAGUAUAUAGGAAUACGAAGGUACAUAGAGAUGAGACGCCGCCUCUCUUGCUCGCUUUAGUUAUAUGUUGUUCUCUUGUUAUCUCAUCCCAUCAAUAUUAAUGUUGGGUAGGCAAGUGGUUAAGUGAAAGCAAGUGGUUUAGAUUGCAGCCAUGGGUUCUAAUUACCAGCCCUGCACGGAAUAUGAUUCUACUUGAUGUAAAAGUGAUUCAGCAAUCCAAAUCAAACCAAGAGCCACAUAGUAGGUGUACUCCGUACCAGAAACUAGUUCAUAUUUCUAGUCCCAUACAUAACAUUUAAAACCUGGAGACGUACUGAUACGAAAACAACCGCGUAUUUGAGCGACUAGAUUUCAUAUUAGUUUGUAUUCUCUUCCAAUUGCUUAGAGGUGUUAUUAGUCUAUUGGGUAAACACCUACCCAAUAGAGGUGUUAUUAGUCUAUUGGGUAAACCCCCGCAAAAAAAAGGUCUAUUGGGUAAACAUUUAAAACGUCGUUCAAACAUUAGUUUGCAUAUUUCCUCCGACAACAAAAGGAGCAACCAUUUGAUUUAACCUACCGCCGCAGUAGCCAAACUCAACGUCGUGAUUUUUCGCCUCAAGCUCUAGCGGGACGGUACCCUCGAUCGCUUUGAUCCUUUAUUUCGACCAAACUUUCAGCCCGGUCGUCAAGCUGGGGGUAUACGUGUUGUUCCCUCCAUCGCGCUCUUCCUCAACCAGAACUAGGAUUAGACAAUUCCAUGGUGCCAGCCAUUUGCCGAUGCCUGUGGCUACUACUGUAACAACUAAUUAAUAGUGACUUGUAGAACUCCGGCAAUUAACAGAGACCGACCGUGACUGUACAUGUGAUGCACGCACGUCUACGGAACCACUGAAAGUUUGCUGUAGCCACUGAAAGUGGACAUGCAACUGUAGCAAUGUCCCCUGGCCGUGGUCAUUUUUCUUCUCCGCGAGCUAAGCUAACAUGUAUUACCAAUAUACUAUUUACAAGACAGUUUUCGAAAGAGCACGUUUGUUGUUUUUGAGAACUGUUACAAAACUGAUAUUUUUGCCAGCACCGUCAAAGGACCUGCUCAAUCACAUCAUGAAACUGAGACCUAAGAGCAUCCCCAGCCGUUGGCCCCUAGGGCGCUAAAAAAGAGCCGCCUGGGGGCGAGCCGGCGCUAGGUUGGCCCCUGGGGGCGAUCUAGCUCCCAGCCACACCCCCAGGCGCCGUUCCUCAAGUCGCGGCAAAUUCAAACUUGGCAAUUCGCGCUCACAAAAAAACGCUGCAAGUCCGGCGAUCAGCGGCCCAGUUCGGCGAUCGGAUGAAAAGUUCAUCGUACAAAAAAAAGGACGAGUGAGCAAGGCAUCACACGGCAGGGUCGGCGUCUUGCGUUAGCGGAGUCGGCGUGCGCGGGCUUGGCGGUGUCAGAGCUGCUUCAGUGCUGGGCGGCGUCGGCGCGACGUCUGUGCUGCUGGGCAUCGUGGAGGCAUCAUCGCUCGGGUUUGGCGGCGGCGUCGGCGUGGGCGUGGGAGUUGGCGGCGCCGUCGACGGCAGCUGGUUUAGGAUGAGGCCGCGCUCCGCCAAGUACCACGCCUUGACAUGCUCGUCGUUGCUCUGGAGCAUGUCCACGCUGUUCGUCAUCAACGCCGACCACCGCGCCUCGGUCUUCUCUUCAUGCAGGGCGGCCCGGGCCUGCGCGUCGGCGAGGCAAUGCUCAAUGGGUUCCUACACCCGCGCCGUUGCCGAGUCGGUGUGUUUCCCCUUCUUGGCCCCUUUGUUGCCUUCGGGGUGCCCGUUGCCCGCGCCCGAUGUCGGUGCGUCCGGCUUGUAGGUCUCCUUGGCCUUGGCGAGAGUGCGCCGGACAUCCGCCCACUUGUCGCACUUCUCGAUCCGUUUGAAGACGUGGAGGUACUUGAAAUCUUGGUCGCUGCUGUCUUGCUGGAACAUGCUGAACAUCCGCACCAAGCUGCGCCGAGGAACUAUCAGUGAGCGGCGCGCGCCCGUCGAAAAGAAAAAAGGAGAGGCCAUUGUGCCAUACCUGAUCCUCGAUGCUGGUGCCGCUCUCUGGGCGAGCCGCGAUCUCCUCGACAUCCCAUAUCAUUUGUUACACGCCGAUUGGAUGAGCCCCCAAUGGUUCGCCAUUGCCUUCGCCCCGCGCUGCAUGUACACGCCUUUGAAGUAGGGGUCGACGAGUUUGCGCUCGCCGAACUCGGCCUUGAUGCAGUCCCAAUACGUCUCAAUGCUCUGGUUCGUGCCGGUGACCGGGUCGAGGCAGACGACUUUCCACGCUUCGGCAAGGCACUCGUCCUCCUUGGACGCCCACUUGAUGCGUGGCUCGCCGAUCCUGGCCGCCCCUUCUUCUUCUUCCGUUUCCUCGCCGGAGGAGGCGCCGGUUCCUCCUCCUCCUCCUCCUCCUCCUGCUCCUCCGGCUCCGGCUCCUCCUCGCUGUACUCGAGCUCGCCGUCCAUGUCACCGUUGGGGUCCACUGUGUCGUCCUGGGUAGUAAACCCGGGGGACGCGGCGGCGGCGGCCGAGCCGGCCGUGAUGAUGUCGUCCAUGUCGGCUUCGGUCGCGUCGGUGUCGCCGAGAUGCGACGUGGAGGCUUGAGAGAAGGGCAGGGCGCCACGGCGGAGAGGGGGUGUCGGGGAGGAUGCGUACGCCGGCGGGGAGUAGUUGUACGGGGGUACUGUACGCCGACGAAGGCGGGUGAGGGCGUGUGCUGGGCCGGAUGACCAUGGGGGGAAGGUGAUGUUGGGGUUGAACCCGCCGUGCACGUCACCGUCAGCGUAACCCGGCGACGGCGUGCAGCCCCAGGGUUGCGGCGACGACGAGAAGCCGGCCGGAGAACCGACGCUUUACUGGCUACAGGGCGCGUACGGGCCGUGGCCGCCGGGCGGGUUCAUCAUCCCCAUGCGAGUCGCCUCGGCUUGUUCGGCCGACCACUCCGCCUGCUCCGCCGCCGCCGCAGCCGCGCUGUCCUGGGCCUUCUUGGCGUUGGCCCUGUUCUGCCGGUCGGUGGUGACAGCCUCCCGGCGCUGAACUUCGGCCCUCCAGUCGGCGUUGGACAUGCCCGGGGGCUUGGACGGCGGUGCCCUCGGCUUCCUCUGCUUCGGCUGGGCGACGGCGGCAGUCGCACCCGUUGCGGCGCGGGGGAACACAUACUUUUUCGGCGGCAUGGCGGCCGACUGGGAGGAGAGGAGGAGGAGAGUGGCGGGAGAAAUGUAGAGAAUGGGAGGGAAGCUGGGGGUGAGGCGGGAAGAAACGACGGGAAAAUGCCGUCCUCUCGCCGACGGAGCGGCCCCACGCCCCUUUUUGCUUGUGCCGGCACCCCCAGGCGCCCCCCAGCACGCCGGGUUCGGCUCGGGUGCGCCGGCUGUUAUUUCGGCCAAACCCGGCGAAGAACUGACUCCUGGGGACGCGACUGGGCCGAUUUUCGACUGCCGGCGCUAAAAGUUCGCCUGGAAAGGGCCUGUUGGGGCGCGGCUGGAGAUGCUCUAACACCCAUCACAACUCACCAAGGAAACAAACAAAACCACCGCCUCCCCAAGAACUAACUGCGGUAUUUUAAACUAAUUUAUGUUACAGUAAAGCAAUUUUAUCUUUCUAGUAUCAACUCGAGUGACAUAUAUUCCGUGGGACCAACUAUGCCUCACGCAAAAGGGAUACAUCGUUUUCAACGUUGCUACAUGGACUGGCCAAGCGAGCCAGCGUGCCACACGUCUCCCAGGAGUGUAGUUUAUUAUGUUACUAUUAUUAUUUUUACACCUAUUUAUUUUACAUAGGUCGGUUUUAUUACCUCAAAGAUACGUAUUGGUUGGUUUUAUUAUAGCUUAAUAUAUGUUCACAAAUUUUAAAAAUUAUCUCAUAUUUAAAAAAAUCAUGCGUACCAAAAAAUGUUCACAAAUUCAAAAAUGUCAUGAAUUCGAAAUUGUUUGCCAAAACAGAAAUUAUUUGCUAAUUCCAAAAAUGUUUGCAAAUACAAAAUAAGUUCAUGAAUUGAAACAAAUAUCCAUGCGGAGUUCAAAGAGGUUGGGAAUAUGAAAAACACUCUGCAACAAAAUAUGUUUGUGAAUUCAGAAAAUGUCCACGAACAAAAAAUUCAUGUAGUCAGAAAAUGUUCACGCAGAGUUCAAGUUUGUUUCGUGGAUUAAAAAAUGUCCAGAAUUUCGGAAAAUAUUCGCAAGUUAGAAACAAUGAUAGAAAAUGUUAAACAAGUUCUUGCAUUAAAAAUAAUAGUUGAAAAUUGUGAUCAAUUUUUUGAAAUUUGGAACAUUUAAACAAGUAAUUUUGAAUUUUCAAACAUUUCUGGAUAUGUGAAACAUUUUUGAAAUUUCAGAAAAAAAUGGAAAACUCAAACAAAAAUUGAAAUUUUCGAACAUUUUUUAUUAUAUUGAAAAAAAGGUACAACAAACCCACCAAAGAUAAAAAUAAAAAUAAAAAGGAUUUAAAACAAAUAACAGACAAAAAACCGAAACCAGAAAGAAGUUGAGAGAAAAAAACGACGGAAGGUUGCAGAACCUUCCCCAAACAAGAUGGAAGCUAUUGGAAGCUUCGUUAAUUUGUGCCCCAAUCCCACCGUGCAACCUCUGAUAGGCCGGCUCUCAGGCAGUGCCCAUAGUGGGCGAGCAGUACCAUGAGCCCAAUUCCUAUUUGGCUCCUCAAGCGCCACAUAUAGGGACUUUCGUUAAUGGCGCACACCCCUCACUAAAGAAAGAAAACUAGGUACAAAAAGCGUCAGGCCAUGUAACAUUAUUUGCCUAAAAAAGGUAUUUUUUCUGGGCGGUUUCUCCUUUGGGUUUUCCGACACAGGUUUUUUUUGUUUUUUUUCCUUUAUCCAAUUUUCCAAAUGGUAAACCUUUUUAAAAUUCCAAUCUUUUUCUUACAUUCGUGAUCUUUCUUUCAUUUUCGUGAAUUCAAAUACGCACACUGUUUGAAAUUUGUGAACUUGUUUUGCGGAAAUAAAAUUCAGGAACUUUGAUUUGAUUUUGUGAUUUUUUUUGAAAUCAUGUUUGUUUUCGUUUUCAUGAGAUUUUUCAAAUUUGUGAACUUUGUUUUCAAUUUUUGGCAAUUUUCAAAAUUUGCAAACUUUUUCCUUUCAUGAAUUUUUUCACAUUUACGAACUUGUUCAAAUUUUGUGAAUGUCUUUCGAAUUCUUUGUAUUUUUUGACUCAAUGGUCACCGAUCUACUAGGGUAUUAGUUACUGUGCACCUAUUAGUAGGUCAAAGAGUGAGCAGUUGCUACCUCUUGAGCACUGCGUUGGUUUUCUUUUGAAGAGGAAAGUGUGAUGCAGUAAAGUAGUGUAAGUAUUUCCCUCAGUUUUAAGAAUCAAGGUAUCAAUCCAGUAUGAGUCCAUGCGCGAGUCCCUCGCACCUACACAGACAAACAAGAACCUCGCAACCAACGUGAUAAAGAGGUUGUCAAUCCCUUCACGGCCACUUACGAGAGUGAGAUCUGAUAGAGAUGAUAGGAUAAUAUUUUUGGUAUUUUUGUAAUAAAGAUGCAAAGUAAAAUAAACAGAAAUAGAAAUAGCAAAGUGUUGGAAUAUUAAUAUGAUGACAAAUAGACCUGGGGGCCAUAGGUUUCACUAGUGGCUUCUCUCAAGAUAGCAUAAGUAUUGCGAUGAGUAAACAAAUUAUUGCCGAGCAAUUGAUAGAAUUGAGCAUAGUUAUGAGAAUAUCUAGGUAUGAUUAUGUAUAUAGGCAUCACGUCCGCGACAAGUAGACUGACUCCUGCCUGCAUCUACUACUAUUACUCCACACAUUGACCGCUAUCCAGCAUGCAUCUAGAGUAUUAAGUUCAUGAAGAACAGAGUAACGCAUUAAGAAAGAUGACAUGAUGUAGAGGGAUAAAAUCAUGCAAUAUGAUAUAAACCCCAUCUUUAUAUCCUCGAUGGCAACAAUACAAUACGUGCCUUGCUGCCCCUACUGUCACUGGGAAAGGACACCGCAAGAUUGAACCCAAAGCUAAGCACUUCUCCUAUUACAAGAAAGAUCAAUCUAGUAGGCCAAACCAAACUGAUAAUUCGAAGAGACUUGCAAAGAUAACCAAUCAUACAUAAAAGAAUUCAGAGGAGAUUCAAAUAUUAUUCAUAGAUAAUCUUGAUCAUAAACCCACAAUUCAUCGGAUCUCGACAAACACACUGCAAAAGAAGAUUACAUCGAAUAGAUCUCCACAAGAGAGGGGGAGAACUUUGUAUUGAGAUCCAAAAAGAAAGAUUAAGCCAUCUAGCUAAUAACUAUAGACCCGAAGGUCUGAGGUAAACUACUCACACUUCAUCGAAGAGGCCUUGGAGAUGAUGUAGAGGCCCUCCGUGAUCAAUGCCCCCUCUGGCGGAGCGCCGGAAAAGGCCCCAAGAUGGGAUCUCACGGGUACAGAAAGUUGCGGCGGUGGAAAUAGGGUUUUGGCUGCCUCUGGUAGUUUGGGGUACGUAGGUAUAUGUAGGAGGAAGAAGUACGUCGGUGGAGCAACGUGGGUCCCACGAGGGUGGAGGGCGCGCCGAGGGGGGUAGGCGCGCCCCCUACCUCGUGCCCUCCUGGUUGAUGUCUUGACGUAGGGUCCAAGUCCUCUGGAUCACGUUCGUUCCGAAAAUCACGUUCCCGAAGGUUUCAUUCCGUUUGGACUCCGUUUGAUAUUCUUUUUCUGCGAAACUCUGAAAUAGGCAAAAAAACAGUAAUUCUGGGCCGGGCCUCCGGUUAAUAGGUUAGUCCCAAAAAUAAUAUAAAAGUGUAAAAUAAAGCCCAAUAAUGUCCAAAACAGAAUAUAAUAUAGCAUGGAACAAUAAAAAAUUAUACAUACGUUGGAGACGUAUCAACAUUCAACAUGGAUCAGUCUCUUAUUCAAACAUUUGGUGCUCUUUACCGGGCCAAGCCAUGCUGCUGCUGGGGAUGAGCGUCAGUUUGCUUCGUGGCGCUGACUAGGAGCUCUCGUCUUUGUGUGCACUUUUGCGCAGUGAUUUUGGUUUUUCCGAGUGCUCCAUGAAUGUUAUUUGUGGCAUAAACUUUGCAAGAUCAUCAAAAGUUUGAUCAUGUGUGAUGUCCCAAAGUUUCAGACUUUUUUGAUUUUGUUUUCAAUUGGUUUUGAAUUUACUAUUCAUGAGGGUGUAGGGACACCGGAGAGCUGUAACACCUUUAUCUAACCCUUUCCCUUCUAAUUCCAGUCUAAAGGGGAGCAUGACAAGAAAAUCUCGUUUGAGAUAUUUACUCUUUAAGAAGAAAGAACGACACGAAUCAAUCUGAAAAAGGUGAUCUUAGGUUUCUCUUCUUGCAUUAUUCUGAGCUUGUUUCUUCCAUGUUGUUGCUGUGUUCCAUCUCAAAUCUUAACUUUUUUUAAUUUUCAUUCAUAAUCCUCCUCUCGCCAAGACCCCUUCUCUCAUUUGUAACCCUUGCUCUCCCUUGUUUUCCAUCUGAAUCUAUGCCACGUUGCUACGCUCGCCUCUAUGCCUCCUCUCAUCUGAAGGUGUGCUAAUUUCCCCUUUCUGUUCUUUUGUUUUCUGUUCAAACAAUGUACAUUUAAAAAUUGACAACGAUUGUACUGUUAACCUACCAACUUACUAUUGUGUUUUCUUUCCUUAUAUUAGUACUACGCUUACACUAAGAUUUUUCGUGUUGCAUAAUGAUUUUAAAAAUCCUUUAUCACAUGAAUUACAAUCUGGUGUAUCUUCUUAUUGUGUGAGUUGCGAAAAUUGCACAGGUACAGUUUGGUUAGUUUUGAUUAUUUUUUAUUAUUUCAGGUUUUAUUGAGUUCCCUUAUGUUAGGUUGAAUACUAUUCUUUUUCUUUAAUCUGCUUGAAGCUAUUCCUCCAAAGGCAUAUGUAAGCAUGCGUUGAAAAUAAGAGUAAGGCUGCACGGCAAAUGUUUGAACAACAGACCAGUUAUAGUUUAGUAAUUGUUGCAUUACAUAUUGAUAAAGUUUUUUUUGAUGCUGUUUUAUUUUUAUGAUGCGAGUAAAUUGGCGAAAUAAAACAAAUAUCUUUAUACAAAACUUUUAUACUUGUUUCAAUUUAUUUUUAUUAUAAUAUGUUCUUACUGAGUAUUCUUUUUAAUACUUAGUUGUGAUAAUUAACCAUGCAAAAUUGUUAAAUAAGAAUUAUUAUUCUUUCUAUACAAUUGUGACUUAUAUUAUGGAUAAAUUUGCUUCCACAAAAUUUGAAUUGUAUGUUGUAAUAAAAAAUGAUUAAACUUUAAUAAUUACAUAACUCAUGUAGUGUAUAUUUCUGUAUUUCUGUGUGUCUACAUGUGUCCCUAUAUAUACUAGUAUCAUUACAGUGUAGAUAUCUUGAAAGUGCAACGUCUAUUCAAUAUCUUAGUAGUGGUUUGCAGUUUCUAUUGGUUAAUUAUAUUUAUGGAAACUUCAAGGAUAUAAAUUGUGCCAUUGGUACAUAGGUCUUGAAUUUUGGGAUUAGUGAUAUGUUGACUACAUGUGCAUGUUUUUACUUGGAAUUAAAAUACAUCUCUUAAAAUAAUCAACGACUAACAUAAAAGGGGUGCCAAACUUACUUUCGUGUGCAUACAAUUUGAUUAUUCAUAGUCUUUAUACAAGAUCUCCUGCGAGUCUCUCACAACAAAACUAUCACGAUCAAAUUGGUUUGUUUUUACUAAUACAUGAUAUUAGUCAGUUGUGUAGAGUUGCCCUUGCGAAUAGAUUUAUUUUAAUAUCUUUGGUAUUCGUUGGAUGUAAUGGAUAACAGUAUAGUGGUUACUAGUAUAUUUUUUUAUAUUUUGGACCCUCCCCCGCUUGGGACCCAAGUCGGCUAUCAUGUUUGCCUGUCAUAUGGCCAGUCCUAGUUGUCGAGCAGCGAGUUUCUCCAAGGAAUGCGCCUUCUCAAAACAUCAACGGGUCAGAAAGAUUGGAUGGUGCGGUGGCUUCAGAGAGAGAAAGUAGACAUGCAUGUUGCUUGCCUUAGUAAACAUAAUUGUGCUAUAUUUUGCUCCCUUUUCUUGCUCUAUCUAUGCUUGUCUCUAGAAAUGUUAGCAGUUGACUAACAUCAUUUCUUCUUGUAUAAAUAAUGGAAUGGAAGAGGAGGCAAUGUUUACUUUGCUUAUUUGCCUAUCUUCCGUAUCUAAAUAGACAUGCCCACACUAACAAAGUUCUUCAAGGCACACUAUAGGCACCGACUAGGAGAUCUCCUACACAGUAGUGGCCCUCCCCUCGGGUAGCCGGUUAAUGGUCUGGCCCAGUACCUUUUGUUUGGCUGACGUAAUGAUGAUGUCAUGCACAUUUUUCCCAUUUUGUUUAUAUUUUGAAAAUCAUAAUUAAAUUUCAAAAUUAUGAUCAAGUUUGAAACACAUAUAUUUCAAAACUUAAAAAUUAUUUAAAGAAGUAAAAAUCCGUGAUUUGAAAAAUGUUAAGGCAAUGUACAAAAAUAUAAACUUUACAUGAGAAAAAUAGACAUCAAAAUAUAUAUUUGAAAUAAUGCUAAACAUGUAUAAAAAAAUGUUCCUGAUGUAUAUAAAAAUGAAAAAUGUGUAUGGAGAAAAGUAGACAUUAAAAAAAUAUAUUAAAAAUAAUGUUAAUCAUGUAUUUGACCAUACAUGUUCAAGUGCUCACACUACACGCUAGCUAAUCAUGCUGCUGUUCAAGUUCGAGUGUUCAACCGUGCCGGUGUACGUACAUGCAUCAACCUCGACCGUUUUCUCAUACAAACAAUUCUUUUUGCAUCCUCACAAACGACAUAAUCUUGCAAUCAAGUCCCUAACAAUUUGCAGCCAUUACCCUCAACUUCCUGUUUCCUUACAAACAAGAUCAUAGCCGCCACGCCAGAUCAAUCUCCUCGCCCCUUCGGAUCCGAUUGUUGCCCUGUGCUGUGAGGUAGAGGGGAAGGGAUUCUCGUCUCUCAUUCUUUGUGUAGUACUCCCUCCGUCUUUGAAAGAGUGUACUUCAAACUUUGUUGAAAAGUCAAACUUUUUUUUAUGUUUGACAGGAUUUAUACAAUAAUACACCAACAUUUGGGCCAUCAAAUUAGUAGCAUUAGAUUCAUGAUAAAAUAUAUCUUCAUCAUAUACCUAUUUGAUUUCACAAACAUUGAUAUAUUUUUGCACAAACUCGGUUAAAUUUUGAGAUAGUUUGACCCUCCAACAAAGUUGAAAGUACACUGUUUUAAGAAUGGAGGGAGUAGGUUUUAGGAUUGCGGUGACGUCGCACCGACAAUGAUGCUGGUGUCAUCUCAAAAUAAAACCAUCCAGCUCCAACCCCUUCUUGGUGACGCUUGGUGUCUCCAAGUAAGAAAAAAUAGAAGAUGAGGAACUUGUGUUGACCCCAUAUUUAUCAUAAAAUUCAACUUUCUACCCCUCAAUUCCGCUUGGCAAAAGUUACCUCCAAGGUCAAAAAUAAACUGUAAACAUGGAUGUAUAUCUAUCUAUCCAACACGAAACAUGCUCAAGAUCCACAUAUUAUGACGGUAAUCAAUUUUGGGUCAAGUGUGCCUCGUAUCAAGAACAACUAACACAGAAGGACAUGUUUUUAAUAACAAUAAUGCUAGACCUACGCAAUCUAUCUACAUAAUUUCCUUUCUAAACUAAUCAGCCCCCUCCCCCGGAUCUGGCUUGCCUGCUCCCUCCCCAUGCUUCCAUCCAUGCUCCCACUUCAUCCUACGGCAAGUCUCGUCCCCCUCCCCCCUCCCCCAUGAUUUUCACGGUGUGGGCCUGGGCCUAAUUUGUCGUCCAACCAAAAUAGGCCAAAUCAGCUAGUACGUAGGCUUACGUAGCUAAAUUACGUAGGUGUAGCAAAGUCCUUUCAAUAAAGAUGCAACAUUCUCAACCUCUACACCGAGUCGAGAGAUACUCACACAAUAAUGGGAAAUUUACCCAAACAGUACUUCUCAAGCUUAUUUAUGGGUGAUCACAUUCAUACAUCCAUGCAUGGAGGACUCGCUCACAGUCUUAUGUUGUCACUCCUCCCGCAAAAAAAAACUCCCGCAAAAAAAAAGUCUUAUGUUGUCACUCAGUGGCAAGCCCCACCGAGAGCCCACUGUUAAACGGCCUCUGGUUGUAGCAGUCGAGGUUGUUACCAUAGCCAACGCAGAGGACAUCGCAGUAGCGCUUGUAGAACCCGAUCCGGUUAGCAACACGGUCAUCCUGUCCCCUACCGCACUCGAGCCCGCCGUUGAUAAUGUUGGUGAUGACGCCAUACCCAGGCACCCGGCCUGCAGCGUUGUCCGUGCCCGACGGGGCCCAUUGGCCUGUGAUCACGGCAUGGGACGACGGCUUGUUCGCCUGAGCCGUCAUCCAAAACCAUAACGCCGUCUUAAACGACACCGUCGCGUCCGUGGCCACCAGGUCCGGGUUGUUGAGCAGGUCCACCCCAAUGGCACGCCCCGUGGGGCCAUAGUUGUAGUUCCAUGAGAGCUGGAUGGGCCCACGGCCGUAGUAUUUCUUGCCUGAUGCGCACGGCCACUCCGGCUUUGGCUCGCAGUAGCUUCCCGGUGAGCCCUGCUCCUGCUUGAAGCAGUAGCCCCAGGCGUACGGUCCGUCGGGCGCCGCGGGCCACCCGCCGAUGGUCUAGUGGGAGGUCUGCCCGAGGAAGGCCGCCACCUCCCACUUCCGCGUCUCCGUGCUCCCCGUGGUGCCGAAUGACGGGAACGCGGCGGCGGCGGCAAGGAAGGCGUCGUACGUGUAGAACCCGCAGGCCUCUUGGCGGGUGGCUCGGGUUAGCACUCUGUCGUGGACAAUAGGGAGGCCUAAAUUCAAAGCUGAAGGGUGAUGCACAUCAUGGCUAUCCUGGGUGCCUUGUGGUGACAUGGGCGAGCUGCUGAGCGAAAGCUCUGCGCCUUGGUGCCAACAGCCGUGGUGUCUGUGAGCAUCUUCUCCUCUUGAGGACGUUGUUAUGGUUCCGUGUCAGGGUUCUGGGUAAAGACUCUCAUCCAUCUCGGACUUGGCAGUGGUGUCCUAGGACGCGUGGCGUUGUAUUCAUGCCUUUUUGUACUAUCAAGAUACUAUACAAGACUGUUUUUGAAAGAGCAUGUUUGACUAUUAUUUCUGAGAACAAAAAGCACGUUUGAUUUGGUCCCUGCAUCUGCAUGGGAACCAUUGCUCUAGGCCCAACAAAUUCCAUUAGGGCCAAAAACAAAGGUGUGAGCGAGAUUUUUCUUUACGAUGAAAGAUGUCAGCGAGUUGAUGACACGGUUGCCGGUCGCCGGUCGAUGUACCUGCUAAAGAUCAACGCAGACCGUACCGCUGACACCAGUGUGGUGCCAACAUCGUUGAAGGACCUGCUGGGUCGAAACCAUGUUACAAAAACUGAUAUUUUUGCCAGCACUGUCAAAGGACCCGCUCAUCCGAGACCACGCGGCCGUCACGGAUGUGCUCAAUCACAUCAUGAACCUGAGAUCUAGCACACAUCACAACUCACCAAGCAAACGAACAAAAACACUGCCUCCACAAGAACUAACUGCGGCAUUUUAAACUAAUUUAUGUUACACUAAAGCAAUUUUAUCUUUCUAGUGACCACACGAUCGAGUGAAAUAAUAUUCCAUGGGACCAACUAUACCUGAACGUUGCUAGAUGGACCGGCCAAGCAAGCCCGAAUUUUUUAUUAUUGAUAAUUAAUAUUCCAGAAUUCGGAAACUAAUAAAACAUUAAUGAGAAAUUUGAAAAGUAGGAAAGACGCUAGAAAUAACAACAUCCAGGGCUGGACGCCAAUACCGACAACGUCCAAAGUUGGACGCUCUUAUAAACAAUGUCCAUUGGUUGAUUCGACCAGACCCCAACUGGCUACCUUUGGCCUUUGACUUGUACCCUCGGCCACCUCCGCACUGCCAAAGCUAGACUCCGCCACCUUCUAGCCCAUCAAAAAUGGCGCUCCGGCAACACCCUUCUUUCGCUAGCCGUUAUCCCACUUUUGCCAAUUCCCAUCAUCGUGCCUUGCUCGCGCCAGGGCCAUAGCUGUCCAACUCCGGUUGUCAUAUCCUCCUCAGCAAGGACCGCGCUGACCUCUUCCCCGUUACGUUCGAGCAAUCUCUAGGCACACUGACUACUACCACAAUCAUCGUGAGCCCUCUCUCCACCCUUCUUGCUCUCCUACACUAGGCAUCCGCAACCAUUUGAGUGGUUGUGUUGCGAAUUUGCAUGUGAAUAUUUGUACAUGUUGCCGUGAACUCGAGUUGUUUUUUACCUAAAAAAGGCACAUUCCUACUUUACAAAUAAAGCAACGAUCAUACAACUCAAUGCAUACAACUUGACACCAUACCACACACACUCGAGGAAGGAUACAACAAUGCAAAAGAACAACGACACCAUCACAACCCACUCCAAGCUCGCAACAAGACAAAGACGUCACGAAGAGACGAUGUUGCGCCCGACGAACCGUGGACUCCUAGAAAAUGCCUUCGGGGAGGGUAUGACACCGGAGCGCCGCAACUGACGGUCCAAAAAGAUAAUGGCACACCCGGAUAAAACCGAAGAAGGAGAGUAGCCGUGAUGCUGCCUAAAGGAAGCAUGUAACGAGGUCCAUGGCUGCCGCUGCCAUCGGCCUGGUGCAAGCUAGACAAGGAUUACCCUUUGGCACAUAGUCUUCUCCUUCCUCCUCGAAUUACCGCUGCUGCCAGCAGCCGACCAACAACGCUACAUGCAUUGAGCCGCCAACACUUCACCACAGGCCGCCACCAGCCAACGCUCCUAGCCGUCGAGCAAAGGAGGACGAAGUCGACCACCAUUGUUGCACCCCCACGCCCACCAGCCAACGGCCAUGGCAACCAGCGGCGCCCGCAACCCGCGCCACCACAACCAGCAGCCGCCACCGUCCCACCCCGACAUGAGCACUGCUUCCAAAGCCAUCUAGGAUAGCCUAUCAUCUGAGUAGAAACUGGAGAUUGCUGCCAUUGUUGUCGGCUGGCAGACAGAGGCCAGUGCUAUGGACGUCCCAAUCGAGGACGCGACCGACGAUGAAAGGCAUUCGGUUUUAUGUAAAAAUCAUCCAAGCAUAAAUGAAUAUCAUCCAGUGCAUUUAAAUAUGCAUCAAAUUUGUUCAAUUUCGUUAGAAUUCUUCCAACAUGUAACCAGACAUAUGCGGAGAUUUUUGGAUGGCCGCCUCCGUGUCCACGGACUGGUCUCCCCUGUACACGGACAAAUGCAUUGUCGUGCUUGGAGGUUGGCAUUGAAGACGCCCUUAGUAGCAUGGUUGAACCGCUGGAGGCUUUCAUCCUCUAUGCAGCCCUGAAAGCAAUUAAGUCUCCGUUGUAGAAUGAACAAUUAGACUUGCUUGAGACAUUUUUGGUAGCUGAUGAGUUACUGUUUUUUCCUCAUUAUAUUUUGGCAAUCAUUGAGUUGUGGUUGUGUGUUAGAAAUUCAUACAUUCAUGUGUAUUAAGAUGAUUUCUCAUCUAAUUGGCAAAAGCAAACUGUGCUAGAAACAAUUCAUGAAUACAAAGUGUUCUUAAUUUUUGAAAAAUGUUCUUGCUCUUAAAAAAUGUUCGGAACUUUAAAAGAUGGUCGUGCAUCGAAAACAGAAUAUGUCAAAAACACAACAGUCUGUAAUGAUUACGCAAUAAUAUGGUCUAAACCCUUAGUUUUUACUGUUUAGCAUAGAGUUUCCGACGUUUUAAGUCCCGGGUUUAGGGUUUAGGACAAUUUUUGAAAUGACAAAUUGUAAAAGGAAAAAAAGAUAUUCUCUAAUUUAUGUUUUUUUGAAUUUUGGUUAAAUCUUGUCAAACCGGUCAAACAACUGAUUCAAGAAAUAUAGAGUGUUACUAAAUAAUUACGCAAUAAUAUUAGUGUUACUAAAUAAGUAUCUUAGUUUUUUUGAAUUUUGUUCAAAUCUGGUCAAACUGUGGUCAAACUAUGGUCAAACUACUUAUUCAAGAAAUAUUACUGUUACUACAUAAUUAUUCAAGAAUAUUAGUGCUACUAAAUAAUUAUUUCAAUUUUUUGAAUUUUGGUCAAAUCUGGUCAAACUAUGGUCAAACUGUGGUCAAACUAUGGUCAAACUUAUUCAAGAAAUAUUAGCGUUACUAAAUAAUUAAUGUUUUUUUAGAAUAAUAGUUUCAAACUUAAACGGUGAAAUGUGUGACUUCAUGCUCAAGCUAAACUCCUGAGGGUUAAUAGGAUUGACAUCUUACUAUUGUUAGGAAAACAACAAGUGCAGACUCGGAAACAAGGAGAAUAGAACCUGAAAGUUAAGCGUGCUCGGGCUGGAGUAGUGAGAGGGAUGGGUGACCGGUCAGGAAGUUAGAUGAUUUGGAAUGAGUGAUCCACACUUGAGCAGUUAAGAGAGGUGAUUAGAGACUAAAUCAUCAAAUAAUUCAAAAAAAUAAAAAAAAAAUCCAAAAUUUUCAAAAAAAAAUUCAAAAAAAAAACAUUUAGUACCGGUUGGUAACACCAAACGGUACUAAAGGGGGGGGGGGCUUUAGUGCCGAAACGUUAGUGCCGGUUCCAUAACCGGCACUAAAGGCCCUUACAAACCGGUACUAAUGGUCCGUUUUCUACUAGUGAUAUUAUGCAGAUUGAAGAUCGCCGAAUUGAAGAAAAGACAAAUCGGUGAUAUUGGGUUCAUUAACACAAAUCUCAUAGAUACAACUGAGGUUAAAUAUCAUGCCAAAGAUAUCGAGGCCAACUUGCUACGAUCGUUGGUAAUAAAUGAAAACAAAGAUAUAAUACUCUUUCCUUACAACUUCAAGUGAGUGUUACUGUCUUGUGCAUAUAUAUUCGGUUUCCCUUAUUAGUCCAGGUUAUAGUAAUGUAAUUGAUGAGUUAUGCAUGCGUGCGCAGGUUCCACUAUAUUCUCUUAGAGAUUAAGCUUGAACAAGGACUAGUAACCGUCUUAGACUCGAGACGAAAAGAUCCCCAUGAGUAUGCGGACAUGACUGAAAUUCUCCAGAAGUAACUUAAAUCGAUCAUUAUCGAUCCACCAUAUCAGCAACUUUGUUCAUUUCCUGAUAUGAAGUAAUUGUUUUCUUUGUCUGGCAGGGUUUGGAGAAAAUUCACCAAAAAAGCUCCAGGACUGCCGAAGAAGCUGCAAUUUAGACACCCGAAAGUAAGUACUAUAGUAGCAUGUUCCGUGCAUCUCCUAGUGAUUCAAGUGCUAGUUUCAUCAAUACCAUUUAGCAUGCUUUCUUAUCAGUUUGAUUGACCUCUAUUUCUUGUAAAGUGGUUGUGGUAGGAACAAGGGAAUUAUUUCUGUGGAUACUACGUUUGCGAGUCCAUCCGCCACACGACCUGUGAGCGGGGCUACUCUGACGAACAAUUUGAAGUGCGUAAGCAAUAAUAUUCACAAUUUUAUUUCAUUACCAUCAUUUGUGUUGAGUUUCAUUUAUUCAUAUAUAUAUGUAUUGACCCCCUUCUUCAAAUUAGAUCUUUCGGAUGCGGGAACUCCUACCACCAGAUCGUAUGCGAGCAAUUCAAGAGGAAUUGGCGGCAUUCUUCCUUGACCACGUGAUCGCUGAAGAUGGAGAAUACUAUGUGGACCCUAUGUUCAUAUAUAAUUAGGAGAUUAUAUUGUAAGAGAUAAUUAUUGUAUAUAUGUAGCCGGUAGUGUCGGAUAGAUAUACGAGAACUUGUUGUUCGACCAAUCUCUCGGAGAAGGAGAGGUGGUCGAUAUCACUUCUCUCUGUAUGUGCAUAUGUUCAUGACGAUCUUCUGUUUCCUUCAUUUGCUUACUAGCUAGCGUGUCUAGUCCUCUCUAUAUAUACGUAUAUAGUACGUAGCGUCGACCAAGCACGGAGAUAAGAGAGGACACUUCUCUCUAUUAAUUAGCUAGCUAACACAAUAUAUGAAACACCUAAAUUAACNNNNNNNNNNNNNNNNNNNNNNNNNNNNNNNNNNNNNNNNNNNNNNNNNNNNNNNNNNNNNNNNNNNNNNNNNNNNNNNNNNNNNNNNNNNNNNNNNNNNNNNNNNNNNNNNNNNNNNNNNNNNNNNNNNNNNNNNNNNNNNNNNNNNNNNNNNNNNNNNNNNNNNNNNNNNNNNNNNCCCCAGCCCCUGAAAUGCUGACGCGUGGAUGCCUUUUGGUCCCGGUUGGUGCCACCAACCGGGACCAAAGGCCCUCCUGCCUGGGCUCGGCGCACCGGCCACGUGGAGGCCUAUCUGUCCCGGUUCUUGUUUGAACCGGGACUAAAGGGCUAGGGCAUUAGUAACGACCCUUUAGUCCUGGUUCAAAAACCGGUACAAAAGGCCCUCACUAACCGGGACAGAUGACCCUUUUUCUACUAGUGGCCCCAACCAAAGCCCUGUUUUCUACUAGUGCUUUGUCCUAAUCUAAUAUCCAAAAGUAAUUAUUUUGUCCGGAGACACGACAUAGAUUAUAUAGAUUAUACAGAAUAAAUAGUGCUACACAUACUAAAUACGUACAGUUAGUCAUAUAUAAUAAUGGAACUCUUUUUGGUAUCUUCAAAUUACUAACUUGAUAUUAGUGGCUUGCAGUAUAAAUUGAAAUUUCAAAAAUAAAUAAAUACAAACACGGAUUACGACAUAGUGUGCACAUGAACACACUUCAUCACUUUUAUCGCCUCGAAAAUUUAGAUUUCUACUCAUGAUCAUCUCUGACAACAAUAAUUCAAUGGCUUUGUACAAAGGAUAAAAUGGCUAGGUCACAUUCGGAGCUUUACCUCUACGUAUGAAUAUCAUGUAGACAACUAAAUGUCCUUUUUUGCGGGGAAGACAACUAAAUGUCACAUGAACAAAUAACCUGUUGUCGCAGCCUCUACUUGACUUCUUUGUCAUCAUCUUCAACAGGAAUUGACUAAAUGUCACAUGAACAAACCAGCUGUUAGCUCAGCAUCCAAAUUUGACUUCUUUCUCCUAAUCUAAUAUUCAAAAACUAAUUUGUCCGGGACACCACAUAUACUAGCUUAAACACUUACAGGCAGUUAGGCAUACAAUAAUGGAAAAUUUUCAGGUAUCUUCAAAUGAAUAACUUGAUAUUAGUGGCUUAAUAUUAGUGGCUUGCAGUAUAAAUUAAAUAUUUUAUUUUAUUUAGGAAGACUGAUGACAAUAUAGUGCGUGCAUGCACAGACUUCGUCACUUUUAGCGCCACACAAAUUGAAAUUCCUAUUCAUGAUUAUAUCUGACGAUAAUAAGUCAAUAACUUUGUACAGUGGGUAAAAUGUCUAGGACAUGUUCUGAGCUUUGCUUUUACGUAUUGAUAAAUAUCACAUGAACCAAUCUACUGUUACCUCAGUAUCCAAACUUCACUUCUUGCUACCAAUCUAAUAUCCAAAUAUAAUUGUUUUCUCUAGAGACAUAGCAUAUACUAUAUAGGUUAUACUGUAUAAAUUGUGUGACAAAUAUAUGUAAAUGUCUAUACAAAACUAAUUGGAGGACAAAAAUACCAUCAAUUAUAGUACAAUGAAAUCUACAGUAUAAAUGUUUUGAAAAAGAAUAGUUUAUGAAAAUUUCCACCCAAGACUACAAAUAUCAUAUUCUUACGGGAGAAAAAGUUUGAAAAAUAAAAUCUUUUUACAAAUGCCAUCUAUUAUAUACUAAAAGUACUUAACGGGAUAACUAGAAAAAAGAUAAUUCUUCAAGAAAAUUUCACGAUAAUUAGAAACAUCUGGCGAUUAUUUUAAAGCUCUCUAAGAUAACAACAAUUAAAUUUCUAUAAUAUCUCUUUCUCAUCGAAGUUGGACAAAACCCACGUACGCCAUUAUAAAAAAAAUGUUUCAUCCCUUUUAGUUUUCCCCUAAAUUUGUACACAUAGAUGGGCCACCAGCUAUAGGUUCGAUCUUUCCCUCAAGAAAAACAAAGCUAUAGGAUCGAUCACAUCUGGAAAAACAUAAAGAAACGUGAGAACAAACCAUUCUCAAAACCCUCUCACAUCUUUCGUCCUAAAAAAGUCUCACGUCAACUGCUGCUCUCUGCUCCCGUCCAUCGGAUGCAUCACAUCAUGGUUUUCGCCCAUGAUUCCACACCCCUUGCAGUUCCGCCUUUCCUCCUCACCAUUGUCACGACAUCCUGAUGGCAGAGUAACAAGUAUCUUCCUCGAUGCCUCCUUCAUUAGUACAGAUCCCAUGUUGGACAUCCUCUUCAACAACUCAGUCCCUGGCUUGUGGUGAUUUACCUCUUCAUCCGGUUCUUCUCUGCCCCAGCCUAUGGAGAUUAUAGGUCUGCUACCAAGCCUACGAUGCUUUCAUGUUUAUAUGGAAAUAUUAUGUUCUUCGUCGGUCCAUGCGGUGUUAUUUCGGGUGUUCUCCAUUAGUGCAAUAAAACAAUAUGCAAUAGGCUAAACAACAUACAAAUUAAUUAGACCACUUUUUGUUAAAAUUCUUGCGGUUGUAGUAAAAAAUGUGAUGUUAAUAAAUAGCUUCAUUUACCAUAACUUUGUUUACAAAAAAACUGAAGUAUUGAAACAAUAUGUUAUCAUUACUGAACCUUAUAAAAUCCUAGCCCGCGCAUCGAGUGGGCCACUUUUCUAGUUCGUCUAAUAAGCACAGUGAUCUCAAUGUCGCAUUCCUGAGCCUUGUUCCAACUUGAUGUAAAUAAAUCAUAAUCGUUGACUUCUCAGUUGUCAUUGAUUUGUUUCCCAUUGCACACAAUAUCCUACGAGUGGUAAUGAUUGGAUAAAGAGGUUGCCAGACAGUUUCCAAGUGGAGUUGUCUGGAAUAGUAUAAAAGAGCAGCAGGUAAUUUCUCACAGCUGUACUGAAUGUCAUCCAUGAAGUAAAUCAAACUGGUGUCCACAUGUGUUGCAUCAAGCAUCUUUAAUGACAAGUAAGGUCCAGGUAGUCCUUGCAGGCACCUUAUACUAGCAUCAGACUCGCGAAUCAACAAUGGUUGUCUUACCAAUAUAACAGCUCGUUUCUUCCUUGAGAUAAACACCUGACCACUGCACUCCAAGGAUGGCAAUGGUAGUGGUCGCCGACAAUCACCUUGCAAAAUAAAAAUUCCAUCUCCAAUUACCCUCUGAAGCUUCACUAUCUUUUGCCAAUAAUUAGAUACACUUCUCACGACAAUAUUUCGGAAUACUGAUUCAUUAUAGGCGUCUCACUCAAACUGGUGUCCACAUGUGUUGCAUCAAGCAUCUUUAAUGACAAGUAAGGUCCAGGUAGUCCUUGCAGGCACCUUAUACUAGCAUCAGACUCGCGAAUCAACAAUGGUUGUCUUACCAAUAUAACAGCUCGUUUCUUCCUUGAGAUAAACACCUGACCACUGCACUCCAAGGAUGGCAAUGGUAGUGGUCGCCGACAAUCACCUUGCAAAAUAAAAAUUCCAUCUCCAAUUACCCUCUGAAGCUUCACUAUCUUUUGCCAAUAAUUAGAUACACUUCUCACGACAAUAUUUCGGAAUACUGAUUCAUUAUAGGCGUCUCACUGAUGCAGAGUGGAAACAUGUUGAGGAGCGAUUGGAAAUACGGUUGAGCAGUUGGAAAGGCAGGUUGCUCUCCAUUGGAGGACGACUAGUUUUGAUCAAUUUUGUCCUCACAAACAUGGUUCUCUACAUGCUCUCAAUUUUCCAACUUUCAAAAGGGGUUCUGCAAAGACUGGAUUACUUCAUGUCCAGAUUCUUUGGCAAGGAAACAAUGAAAAGAAAAAAUAUAUGCUAACCAAAUGGAGCAUUGUUUGUCGACGGAAAGACCAGGAAGGAUUAGGGGUUCAAGACCUCCAGGUUAAGAAUGAUGCCUUACUUAGUAAAUGGCUGUUCAAGCUACUUACCGAGGAUUUUGUUUGGCAAAGUCUGUUGCGCAACAAGUAUUUAGGUCAAAAGGCGUUAACCCAGGCAUAUUGAAGCCCUAUGACUCGCAUUUUUGGGCUGGACUGAUUGCGGUCAAGAAACAUCUUUUCCGCUUCAGAUCUUUCACGAUAAAGGACGGCUCAGAGAUACGUUUCUAUGAGGACAAGUGGCUAGGAACUGCCACUGUUCGAGUACAGUACCUAGCCUUAUACUGCAUUGUACGCGAUAAGAAUGGUACUCUUGCGCAUGUGAUGUGCUCUUCCCCACCAGAUAUAUCAUUUAGGAGGGAUUUGAUUGGCCCCCGUCUUGUGUCAUGGCAACAUGUGCUAUCUCGUUUGGAUUCAAUUAACUUGACACGAGGACGGGAUGUGUUUCACUGGAAUCUUACUACAUCUGGGUCCUUCACAGUUGACUCUAUGUACCGUGCACUCUCGCACACAGAGAAUUCAAUGGACAAUUAUAAACAAAUAUGAAAAUCGAAGGUGCCACUAAAAGUUGAGAUUUUCAUGUGGUAUUUUCCAAGAGGAGUUGCGCCAACUAAAGACAAUCUCGCUCGACACAACUGGAAUGGAAGCAAGAUGUGUAAUUUUUUUACUCAUGAUGAGACAAUUAAACACCUCUUCUUUCAAUGCAAGUUUACGCGUUCUACAUGGUUAGUCAUCCAAACAGUGUCAAAUUUAUAUUCACCAACAAGUGCUGCCAAUAUAUAUGCCACUGACUUGAUGGAAUACCAAAUACGUUUAGCACGCUAAUACAUCCCAUGCUGCACUCUACCUUGUCGGCGACCGGACCAACACUCUGGGGAGCGCGGUCGGCCACCGGACAUGGCCACGACAGAAUCGGGCGAGCUCCGGUUAGAUUAUUCCCAUUGCAGCUGUAGAUGCUCUUAGCAUUGCUGAUUAUUUCUGACCCACCACAGACUUGGCUAAUCUUCCUACCCCACCCUACCCUCCGGCCAUGAGAAUCAUUGAUCGCUUACUCCUGCUAUAUCUAGCAAGAUGUGUUCAAAUUUUGGGGCAAAAACUACAACAUUUUGCAGUGCCGUUUUGUUUGUCAUACUACCGUUUUAUUUAUAUAUACACGAGCGUACUGCUUUUGCACAACACAAAGUUGCCGAAUAUUAUAUUUUUAAGCAACAAGUUAAUCUCAUACUGCAUCCAUCCCAUAAUGUAGUGCGCUCGUGUUUCAGUGGUAUAAUUUCUGCUGCCGCCGUAAUCUGUCUCGUUAGUUAAAUUUAUAGUUAAAUUUAGAUCUUGGAAAGCCGGGACGCAGUACAUUGUACUAGAAUGGAGGGAGUAGUAUACGUUUCUUUGCAAGCAGAACCCACUAGGUCUUCAUCGCGUGUUAACUAAUUUAUCAAUCAAACGUGGUUUAUCAGUCCAUUUCUCCUAUUUAUAAGAGAAGACGUGAUCACAUGGUCCUGUGAAGUAGGAGUAAUAUGAAGAAGAUAAUGGAAAUUUUUGGCGUGCCACACAGUAGAAUUCAAUCAAGUGAGUACAUUGGCGUUGCACGCGCCUUUUCGAUCGGCCAGGGUGUGUCAUCCAUUGUGUCUAGGGACCUCUUCGAGUGGCUCUUGCUCAACCGCAACAUUGCCAAGAGGCCUGCGGCGGGUACACAUAUGACCUCAUACCCCUCCUUCCGAACCACUGGGAGCACGGUGGUGGGAGGUAGCAGGAUUCCUUGGGAUGACCUCCAACGUGACCACCGGAGGGUGGCUCACGUUCCCUGAUGGCCCGUACUCGUGGGGCUACUGCUUCAAGCAGGAGCAGCGCUCGCCGGGAAGCUACUACGAGUCAUCGUCAGAGUGACCAUGUGCGUCAGGCGAAAAAUACUACGGUCACGGCCCCAUCCAGCUCUCAUGGAACUACAACUAUGACCCCACGGAGCGUGCCAUUAGGGUGGACCUGCUCAACAACAAGGACCUGGUGACCACGGACCCAUAAAAAAGAGACAGCAAAGUCAUAAAACCCAAAGUCAUAUAAAAGCAAUGCUAUGUGUAGGCGAGUAAAAGAAAAACCCAAAGUGAUUAGAUCCACGAUCGGCAAACUACAAAAGAGACCAUAUCCGCACCAACCAUCUCAUGACACCAGACAGACCACAAGGUUCUUCAAUAGCAAUGCUUCCAAGAAGGGAGCGACACUCAAGUGUUGCCGUCACCAGAUCCAACCACCAAGGCCCAAAUCUAGGUUUUCACCCGGAAAAAAUAAUCGAAGCAUAUCCGAGUAAUGCCUUCAACAAGGUAAUGAGUGGGCCGAGCCUGUUAACUGCUCAUUUUUAUUGCUUGGAUGCAUCACCAGAGCUAAAUCUUGCUUAUUGCCAAACCAAUGGUAGGGUCACCUACAGAGCUGGAAGUUGUGGGACAACCCAUUUAGCUCAUUUGUGUGAACCUUCUAUGCCACUUUGCAUGGUUUGAGCAAGGUUUUGUGUCGGGCUUUUUUCUGUGCAGUAUCUUAGCCGGUUUUCUGUUUUUUCUUUUUUCUUUUAUUUUCUUUGUUCUUCUUUUGGUUUUAUUUUCUUGGUUUCUUUCCUUUUCCUUCUCUUGUUUUCUUGUCGUAUAUCAUAGCUAACAUUUGUGUUGCUUGAUGGGUAACUCUAGGCUAAGUGGGUAUACACUUUGCUAAAGUGGAUUGGCAUUUACUACAACACAGGUUAUUCCUAGCACUUACAAGCGAGUUGUGUUGCUUGACCACUGUGGUAAAGGAAUGCCUAGAGGAUCAAAUAACUACGUUUAUCUAUCAAGGAAAGUGGUUUCAGUGGAACCACAAGGGACACUGAGAGUGGCCAUAGAAUCCUAUGGCAAGUCUGGUCGCUGUAUUGCUCGAAAAGGUCACAUCAGCUUUCCUGUUGAACACCACCAAACAAGAACGCGUUUUUGUUCAGCUGGGGACGCCACAGUGGAGGUUGUCAUAGCUUCGUCCUUUCUUCUUAGUGAAAGGUGUACGCUUCGCUCUGUUGAUUACCCAGCCAUAUAUAGUAAGAAGGAUAUAUAUGUAAGAUGUGAAACUAACUUUUGUGUAACAUCAUCAGGUCUAGUCUAGCUUAUCUUAGUCAUAUAACUAGCUAUCGUACUAACAAGAACUUGUAUGUUGUGACUCGUUGUGGUUUGUUAAAUUCUGAGUUGGAUUGUAACUCUAUCUUUUGAUCUGAUUGUUUUACUUCCUUUUGACUAUUAUUUAAGUUGUUAUAUAUGUCGUGUCUUUUGCCGAGGGUGUGCAAGUCUCUUUUGUAUUCCUAUGGCCUUCGAAGAUCUAAGCUGAUAUUGAAGGAAACAAAAAAAGUAACCCAAUGGGACAACCAUGCCCUCUAGAAACCUCUAUCACCUUCAGAGAACUAAGCCAUGAUAUUUAAGAAAACUAAAGUAGAUACAAAAUUCAUACAUAUAAUUGUAAUUCAUCUAAAUGGAAUAAACUUAUCUACAAAGACAUCCAACUUUCUCCCUUUUCUGAUAUAUAAAAACACUAAAGGCUUAGGCAAUGAUUUUGAAGUGACAUUAUCUGAAAAAUAAAUAAUAAUAAUACUAUGUGUUUGGGUUUAUAAUCCCUCAAAAAAUAGUUUUUGCUGAAUGUAAUAGAAAUUUGAACCAGUAAGACUAUUCAUGGAAAAGGAGUUUUAACAAUAAAAGGUAAAAAUGUUUAGUAUAAAAUGGCCCAACAUUAUUUUAAUUAGUAAACAAAGCCCAUAAACAUAAUUUUAAUUCAUGUAAGUGGAAUAAAUUAAUCUACAAGGAUAAUGACGGCGCCGAGCUUUUUAUAUGGACCGGCUAGGGUUAGUGGCCAGGCCUGCCUACUGUGUCGUGUCACAUUCUUGGUUAGAUCCGAUCCACUCACGCGACAAAAGCAUGAAUGCGCCAUCCAAGCGGCAACAAUAAUUGAGGAGCCUCGCUCGCUCGCUCGCAUGGAAAGCGACACAUCAAUUACCCAGAAAUUGAAUUAAAUUGAAUUGGUGCGGUGCACGCGUGCGGCGUCAAUCGAUUAUUUUACCGAGACGAGCAAGAGGGAAGUAGUCCCCUUGUACUAAAGCAGGUGGAGUUUAGGAGGGGCUGCAGAAGAAAAAUCUCGUCAGAAAACAAGAUCUCUGUCAUGAAGAUCAAGAGGAAGGGGGGCAGCUCACCUACCUGCUGCUUGGCUUGGCCAGGAGGGGGCUCCGCUCGAACCGUCGGCCCCUGCUCCUGCAUCAAAACCAAACAGAGAUGAAAGCCAAUGAGAUGCUGCAAGGAAUAAUGUUUAAGGGAACAUGUUGUAACAUAGAAUCAUCUCAAACUCAAAGGAGGGAGGGGGCAGCGAUGCACGACCAGCAACCAAUCUAGGGUUCGAUAGAAGCAAGCAGCCAAGCAUAAGGAAAUGGCAAGGAAACCAGAUCCCCAAUGUAUAUGAUGAGGAAGGUGAGGGGGGAAGGGGCAGCUCACCUGACUAACUGCUGGUUGGCGUUGGCGUUGGCUUGGCGUCGAGGGGGAGGAGGAGCCGCUCUGCUCCUCUCCGUCGAGGGGGACACUAGCUAGCACACAGCUCGAGCGGAAAUGACGGCGGGUGCUAUGGAGGGACAGCGGCUAGGUUAAGCUUGGGGUGGUGAAUAGGAACUGGACGGGCCCAAAUGGGUAAUACGUACCUGGGCUGCGUUUCGGUGGCGGGCCGGAGCCGGAGCCACCAGGAUAGGAUAGGCCAUUCGCAGGCCUUAGCAUUUCCUUCCUCAAUCCAAUGUAUAUGAGGAGGGUGAGGGGGGACAUCCACUCGAGCAACAGGAGCGUCGUGCCUCCGUGAAGAAUCUGUAGCUUGGGUUGCACGACGAGAUGACGUGACCGCCGGCUGAAUCUCAUGCUUGCUGAUGCGGAAGGAGACCACUCGUAGGAUCGGCCGGCGAACGAAGGGCCGUCAGACCACCACCGGUGAUGGACGUGGCGAAUGGCUGAUACGAGUGAGAGAGAUUAGAUUUCUGGAGGAGGGAGGGAGGAAGGUUGGAUGCGCAGCAGAGAAGAGGAGAUGGAGAUUAGGUUACGGGUGGGUGUUUAUAUAGUACCGUGGAGGUGGAGGUGGAGGUGGGGCAUUAAUCACCCUGGGGCCCCGCGGGUUAGCGUGUCACAAUCUUAUAUCCGAUCCACCUUCCCUCUCGCACGCGAAAAAAACAUGAAUGCGUGCAAUUAUCGACGACGAAAGUGACGCGCCAUGCAUGCAUUCAAGUAAUCGAUUACCGAGGAGACGCGCCAAAUAGUACUACUUCUGUGCCAGCCUCCCCGUGAUGCAACCUCCCCCAGCAGCGCAGCGCAGCGUGAUGGAUGGAUGGAUUGAUUGAGAAACAAUAAUUACUACUACUCCAUAAAUACUACUCCUCUCCCCAAACUUGUAGCAGCGGCAGCAAGUUUGGUCGUUUCUCCUUCCUUUUUCAUUUUCAUUCAUUUCAUGCAAAGAAAAGGAAAAAAAAAAUAAAAAUAAAAAGCCUGCCUAAACACAGUUUGUUUACUGCUAAACUUGUACUACUAUGUAAUAUAUGUGCAAAGGAACGUCCAUUGACACAUACAUCGCCUCCUUGUCAUAGUUUUCGCCACUCAACCAAUUUUGCACAAUUUCUAUGUGUGGGCACACAGAAAAAUAGUGGACAUAUAAAGUUACUACUCCCUCAAGGAAUGGAUGUAUUUAGAUGUAUUAGUUCUAGAUACGUCCAUUUGUAUCCAUUUCUACGAUAAGUAUUUUCGGACGAAGGGAAUAAAUUGGUACAAUUCUGCUCCGAGCUAGCUAAAUUGAAUCAAAAUACAUGGUCAAAACAACAAGCGGAGAGGAGGCAACGGAGAUCAAUAGACUCUUCAUCACCAACAAAGCCUCCAAUUCAGAUCAACAACAACAACAUAAGUCUUCUUCUUCUUCUUCUUCUUCUUCUUCUUCUUCUUCUUCUUCUUCUUCUUCUUCUUCUUCUUCUUCUUCUUCUUCUUCGUCUUCUUCUUCUUCUUCUUCUUCUCUACCUUGAACCUUCAACUCAGACUCUCUUUCCCUGUUGCCCCUGCCUGAUACACACACAGCAGCAACAAACCACUCAUCAGGCUCACUUCAGUUUCAUCAAUUACUAGUGUUUGGGAUGCAAUGCACAGAUAUAAAUCAAUGUUGCAAGCCAAUGUGCGCCAUCGUCCAUGUAUGCAUAAAAAAAUUACGCUUGUUUUAGGGAACUACAGACCUACUACAUCUCACACUAAAACGAUUCCAUCGCAGCAGGCAAAAUGAAUGCAAAUAUAGCAGGGGCAAUGUGCAGCAGCCAAACAACAGGUAGCAUAAUCACGUGUUAAAAAAAACCUCCAUCCCAUCCCAACAUGGAAAAUACAUUGGCCUGUGGGGAGGUGAAACUACUGGGUUGACAAGUUGAAUUCGUUAAGUUGACAAGUUCUCCUUCAUGGUCACAUACCUUCCUACUUGGGUGCCAACCAAAAAAAAACAGGAUUCACAUUCUAAUCUAUACUUGGGUCACCAUCAACUACUGACAGCUGUUACUGUGCUCCUUGAGCUCAAACCCUUUCCAAUCAAAAAACCAUAUACAGCUCUGUCUACCUGGGCUGGGCUGGGCAGUACAUGCAAGCUUUUAACCAAACAAGACCAGAGGAAAACAAUCAAACAUCAUCAUCAGCCAAUGCCCUUGCAUCAUGUUGCCUGGUAUCAAGUCAAAGCAAUUCACUUGUCCUCAGUAACUGGCUGACGGCAACGUUUCAUUGAGUUACUUACUACAAUCUGGUCAGAAUUUGUCAUAAAUCAAAACAUUAUUCAUGUUGUAAUUUUCAGAAAGCCAAAGGAGACCAUGGGAAUCUGACCAGUACAGUGUCUUGGUCUGAUGUAUUCCAGUGAACAUACCUUACCCAUGAUGAUGGGCUGUCGGCUCAGUCCAACUCAUUCAAAGUAUCGGAUCAUGUGUACCUGAACCAGAAUACCAACAUUUCAGUUAAGAGAUGCACCUGUGACAAACUAGCAUUUGAUGCUCACACAACAUGAUGAGGUGUUGCAGCAACAGAUAGAAAUGGUUUACUGAAGUUCAAAAGACGACCAGGUCAAAUAUCAUGAAUUUUCAAUGAGUUGAACACUGUUAGCACCAUACACAUAGUACUUGGCAAGUAAACUAGCCAUUCCGUCAACAUAAAGGCAGUAAAUAUUCGAAAUAGUGAUUUUUGUAUUAAUCAAAGACUUGUUCCGCUAGUGGUACUUGCAACAGAAAGUCCAGUUUCUACCAAUGAAGCAAAAGAACAAGAGAAACUAAAUUUUAUUGUCAAGUAAGAAUUAUCCCAUGUAGCAAUUAGUAGUAUGUUGAUCAGGCACUACUGGUUAUCCCUUCAAGAUUUUGGAUGCAUCACAUCAAUAUUUUUAAUGUUAUCAUGUUACAGUUGAUAAGGUCAGAUUCAAAGAAACUGUAUCAAACCAAGCAAACCCAGAAACACUCAGCUAUUUUAAUAUGCACAAAUCUAUUAGUACAGAAAUUUCUUUCCCGACAAAUACAUAUCAGAAAGGUAUAAGCUAUGAAAAAGGAAUAUGAAGUCAUGAAGUGUGUUUAAAUGUCUCACCAAACCAAUUGCAGAUCAAGAUGUCCAAGAUAAUACUAUCCCACCAGCACUCAUUAAAGUUUGGCAACAUAUGUCACAUGGUAAGCUGCAAAAAAAGAUAAUAAGCACACUUCAUUGUCAAAGAUGGCAAUAAGGAGACAAAAAACAUAACUUCUUCCAAACAAGAUGACCAGAUCUAACCUCCAUUAGCUCGAAGCCAAUCGACAAGACCCAAAGGAGAGGUUGAUUCCUUAUCAUUACAUCCUUGCCCCACCAAGACAUGGGCGACCACAAAUUCUUCAAACAAUAUCUCCUAUAUUGAUCACGGAAGCCGUCAAAUUUGCUGGAAUAAAUGACAACAAUAAUACAAACUAGGCCAUCUUCAUGAAAUGGGAAGGUUCACAUGGAAAUCAUACAUAAAUAUUUAUGAGCUUGUUUUUAGGGUUUUCUGGAACAUACAGACGGCAAUCCAUAGGAUCUCCCCAAUCUUUUCUGCCAAAAAGGCGACGGCUGAAAGCAUUUUUUUCCCACCGUGAUGAACAUGACAGCGAAAAGGAAAAUUCAGGUUGCCUCAGCCAUACUACUAGUACAUAAUACCUCUUGAUAGAUGUCUCGCUACUGUAAGAGGCAGCGCCCUUUGGAUCUAGAGCCCAGCUGAAACGGGAAAAUAGAUUGAAUCUCGGGUCAGAAGGUGAGCUGGAAAGAAGAAAAUAAACACAUUCCCGCAAAAUCUGGGGCCACCUGCUCUGGUCCUCAUGCAUUGGUACUGAUUUAUCCAUGCUAUUCAACUUUUGCUCUUACCGGCUCCUAUAACAUUGUAGUCUAUACAAGGAUGGCGUAAUAACCAUACUACUAGCCAUUUUACUCUUACACGAGGCAUUGGCAAAACCCAGAGAAGUAAAUGAAAGCCUCAACCGCCGGCUGAAUGCUUAAUAGAACAAUUUUCCUAGAGUGCAACUAGCAUGGCUCAUAGGAAAAACAUUAAUCGUCAGCCCCUGUUGACAAUCACCACUGUCCAACUCAUCGCGGUAAAAUAAGGUAAAUUCUAAAUCUAAAUUUAGAUAUUGACCAUUUGAACUAUUGGGUAACAAUGGAAAGCCAUACAGGGGUGGACUAAAACCGCCACUCUCUUGUCGUUUUCUACACGUGGCAUCAGGCAACCCAGACACAUAAAUGAAAACCCGAUCUGGAGGCUGAACACUUAAUUAAUAGAACAUUUCCCUACAGUCCAACUAGCAUGGCUCAUAGAAAAAAUUAAGCAUAAAAUUAGCUGUGUUGCGCGUGACAUGGCCAACCCAUACAAAUAAAUGAAAACCUCAACAGCAGGCUUAACACAGUGCAAGUAGCAUGGCUCAUAAACAUUAAUCGUCAGCACCCUGUUGACAAUGAACUAUUUAGGAAACAAUGGAAAGCCAUACAGGGGUGAACUAAAACCGCCACUCACACGUGGCAUCGGCCAGCCCAGACAAAUAAGUGAAAACCUGAACAGGAGGCUGAAUGCUUAAUUAAUAGAACAUUUUCCUACAAUCCAACUAGCCGUGUUCCAAGUGGCAUCAACCAACCAAGACAAAAAAAUGAAAACCUCAACUGCAGGCUGAGCACCUAAUUAAUAGAACAUUUUCUUAUGGUGCAAGUAUGGCCCAUAGAAAAAACGAAUUGACAGCUCCCAACAACAAUCACCACUCUUUAGCACAUCAGUCAUUGUUGCAUUGCAAGAUAGAUAAAGUAAAUACUAAACCCUAAAUCAAGAUAUUGGAGUACUUGGUAAUAAUGGAAAGCCAUACAAUGUAGGUUCUAUGUCAACCCGGUGGCACGUGCGGUGGCAAUCGACUCACGCAAGCAACCCUUAUAAUGAAAUAAUAAAUAUGUAAAGGCGGUAACAAGUGCGAGGCGAAAGGUUAUACAUCCUUAUCCCCCUAUUUCCCUCAUCCUUGCAAGCGCCUCAAUCGAGAUCAUCAUACGAGCGACCGCUCGCAUUCCCAUCGUUUUUGUAGUCGCCAUAGCCAGCAGUGUCCUGGUCGCUGCUCUCCGCCUGCUGAGCUCCAAAAGCGGCCCUGAGAAGCCACGGCAACGAGAUCCUGAACCUCCUCAACAUGACCCUAGGCAAAGGGCUGCCAUCCGGGGACGCAGGUGCCGCUACCGCAGCGGCAGCUGCCUGGCGCUGGUGGUCAUAGAUGGCGGCAGACAGGGCAGGAGCUGUGGAGGUCAAGCCAUGGCAGGAUGCAGUCCUUGUGGAAGACGUGCUGGGCGCCCCCAUCGACGGCGACAUUAGGGAGUGCGGCAACCGCAGCCUUGGCGGUGGGCAGGGUGCCAUAGCGGCUAGGGUCGUUCUCAGCGAGCUGCUGGAUGAGCUGCUUGAGGCCGGAUCCCAUGAAGUAGUCGACGAGGCUGACCCCGCCGGCGCCGGGGGCGGGCGAGGAGACGAAUCCACCGGGGAAGGAGGAGCCCUCGAGGACAAUCUGGAUGGUGGCGCCGCCGGAGAGGAGGCCUCCAAGGUGGACGUCGAACUGGUUGCUGGGGUUGGAGGAGGCGGUGGCGGCGGGGGUCGCGGAGGGGGAGGGCGGGCCGAGGAACCACCGCGAGGUCACUGGGGUUGUGGAGGUCGAGGAGGCUGGAGAAGGGGAACAAGGGAGACGGGUGGGGCUGGUGGUGGGGGAUAGGGUUUGGGGGCUCCUCCUCGUCGAAGAGCUCCUCGACGAAGCCCCCGGCGCAGACAAGGCAGAAGACUUCGUCGUCGCGGGAGGCGGGGGCGGCGAUGGUGAUGGCAUGGUGGCACUGGUGGCAGUAGUAGCCCUGCUGCGGGAGAGCGCCGACGACGACAUGGCGGCGGCGGUGCAGACGGAGGAAGGGGCUCCGUCGCGGGAGCGGGGGGUGGGGGGCGCCGGCGGCUGAGAAGCAAGAAGAAGGGGAUUAGGGUUAGCUGGAGGGUAGACAGAUGGGCUUUGCUGCUGUUUGUUUUGGUUAGUUGGGCCCGAAAUUUUUGAACACGAGCGUGCCAUUGAACUGGAAAUUUUCAGGGAUCCCAAAUAGAAAAACACAAUGGCGUUCCGAUGCUUCCAUAACAUCCACCUGCCGAGAAGGCAUUUAGCGCGCAAAGACUUGUGGUAGUGGCUCGCGUUGUCGUCCUGCCUGCCGCACCACUGACCCAAGGUUUCAUUUUGCCGUGGUUCCAACUCCAUCCUCCCAGUUAUUGAUCCUAGCCAGUGUCAAACUUGUUUGACGAACACACAGUCAAUUAGCGAGUGUUGCAUAGUCUCUUCCUGUUGGUUGCACAAUGGGCAUGCAUCCUGGUGGGGUAAUCCACGCCGAGCAAGCCUGUCAGAUGUUCAGCAUCGAUUUCUGAGUGCUAGCCAGGCAAAAAAAAGGGCAUUGGAGGGUUGCCUUAGACUGCCAAGUGAAUGAGGUCGUCGAGGAUAACUCGAGUCCCAUGUACCUAACCGCAUAUGCUGAGCAAGCCGAGAAGUUACCAUUCGAUUCCCAAGCCCACGUGGCUGAAUCUUCCACUCCAUUUGUUAGUUGCCAGGAAGAGAUUCGUGGCCACAAAAGUAUGAACUGGCCCGAAAAAUGUUGGGUAAGGUCAGGGCCAAUGUCCCCUGCCCAAUUGUCCUCCGUGAGCGCGUCUGCGACAAGUCUGCUUUUCUUGACUAUCCUCAUGAUCCUUUCAUAAAUAUCUGGCACAAUCUCGCAAAUCCGUAGACCAUUGAUCCACCGAUCCUCCCGAAACAGCGUUGCUCUCCCAUCAUCGAUCGUCCUACAUGCAGCCGCCUCACUAGGGCGCGAGAUUCUGGCAGGGACAUUGAUCUGAAAUUUCUUCAACGGUCUGUCUUUAACAACCUUUUGCAGCCAUGGCCAACGCGCUUGUAGCGCCUUGUUCAGCCAGUGAAGAUUGGGGAUUCCUAAGCCACCAUCCCACUUCAUCGUGCAGACCACCUCCCAAGCUACCGCCCCAUUUUCCACCUCGUGCUUCUUUUUUGCUACACCACAAAAAGCCUCUGCAAAUCUUUACUAGGGCCGACAGGGUUUUGAAGGCAGUUCCAACGCUAUCAUAGAGUGGACAGGAAUAGCGCAUAACACAGAUUGGAUAAGUAGAAGUCGGCCGUCUUUUGGUAGCAUGGCUGCCUUCCAAAGCGGGAGACAAUCAACAACUCGAUCCACCAGACCUUGCAAUUGCGUCGGUGUUUGUUUUCUGAUCGUCAACAACAUACCCAGGUAUUUGCACGGAAACGGCGAAGUGGUGCAGCCCAAGGAUGCCGAGACAACCUCCAUCUCAUCAUGUGAGCAUCUAACGGACAUGGCCACGCACUUACUCAUGUUCACCACCAGGCCCGAAGCCUGCCCAAACAGCCUCAAGAUCGCUCCACACAUGCUCGUCUCAGUCUCAUUUGUUUUGAAGAACACCACUACAUCAUCCGCAAACACGGACAGCCUUUGUUUCAAGCCAGACCUCGCCAAAGGUGCCAACAGCCCUCUUUUCAUAGCAUAUUCGAGAAGUGCCUGAAGGGGUUCUAUACAUAGGAUGAAGAUCAUGAGUGAGAAGGGGGCUCCUUGCCUUAGACCUUGACAUGCUAGGUUUGGUUUUCUGGGAGCACCAUUGACCAUGACUCUCGUGGAUGAGGUAGGCAGCAGCCCAGAAAUCCAAGAGAUCCAUCUUUCGCAAAAACCAAGCCUCCUCAGAACCUCCAAGACAAAUGGCCAUUGUAGUGAAUCAAAAGCUUUGGUGAUGUCCAGCUUAAACAUGACUGUGGGUACUUUUAAGGCGUGCACCCGUCUCGCCGUACAUUGCACUAGCAUGAAGUUGUCGUGUAGUGAUCUACCUCUGACAAAUGCGCUCUGAUGAUGCCCCAUGAGUUUUGGUAAAUCAUCCGCAAGCCUCGACGCAGGGGUCUUGUUGAAAAUUUUGAUCGGUCCACUAACAAGACUAAUUGGCCGAUAGUCCUUAAUAUCCACAGCUCCGGAUUUCUUAGGCAGUAGCGAGACGAUCGCUUUAUUGAUUGUUGCCAUACCUUGGACAUCUCGUCGGCGAAAAUGCUCCAGUGCAUUCAUAAGGUCACCUUUGAUGAUAGGCCAACAAGUCACCUAGAAUAUGUCCGUGAAGCCGUCAGCCCCUGGCGCCUUAUCGAAGGGCAUAGCUUUGAUGGUCUUGAGCACCUCCUCUUCCAUGAACAAUUCUUCCAAAUGCGUGAGGUCAAGGGUGGUAGGUCAAGCACGUCCAGAUUAAUCGAAGCUUGCCGGGCGGGGGCUGACCCAAUUGAUCUACAUAGUAUCCGUCCACCACUUCGGAUAUGUUAUCCUGUCCCGUGUGUAUCCCACCAUUGUGAUGUAAAGUGAUAAUGUUUUUUCUUUGUCUAUGGCGUGCUUGCUUUUGGAAGUAUGCAGUGUUCGCAUCCCCUUCCUUCAGAUGAAACAAACGGGAUCACUGUCUCGCUAGCAUCCUCUCCAGCGAACAGAGGCCCAACAAUUUUUCUUGAGUAGCUUGCGUAGCCCAUGCUCUUGGUCUGAGAGAGUCCUACUCUCUGCCGCCACGUCCAGCCUACCAAUAACUUCCAUUGCGAUGGAGAGUUGAAGGCGAAUGUUGCCGAUCCAACGAUCACUCCAGCUUUGCAGGGCCUUGGCAGUGGCGUGUAACUUACUAUCCAGGACUAUAAAAGGGUUUCCUUGGGAAGAUACGGUGUGCCAUGCAUGCUGGACCGUGUCCAUGAACUCCUCAACCUGGGGCCAAAAGCUUUCAAACUUGAAACGCCAGCCCAUCUCUAGUUCUGCGUCAAGAUCCAUAAGAAGAGGACAAUGAUCCCAUACCGCCGAGCCCAGAACCGUCAAUAGGUUUUUGGGGGUGUAUAUCUUCCCAAGAGUUAGAAACAAAGAAAUGAUGGAUCUUCUCCAUUGUGGGAUUGCACCUUUCGUUACUCCACUUGUACCACCUCCCAUUUAUGUAUAGCUCCUUGAGCUCAAGCCUAUUGAGAAGGGCUCUGAAUCUGGCCAUCAUCGGCGUGUUGAGCGUGGCCUUGUUCUUAUCUUCCGAGUUGACAAGCAAGUUGUAGUCUCCCACCAAGGCCCACAACCCAACAUGCAAAUCUUGGACGUCACGAAUCUCUUGCAUGAAGUCAAUUUUCUCCGCAUCACCUUGUGGCCCAUAGACCCCUGUGAGCCACCACAAUGGAGCCCCUUCAUGCUUUGACUAGGGCAGUGAGCGUGUUCGCUGUACGGUGUAGGCUCGUGACAAACUACCAAGCUAUCCCAUGCCAAUAAGAUCCCGCCACGGGUACCCAUCGCCUGGACGUAGUAAAAAUUCUCAAAUUUAUUGCCGAGGCAUUGGCUUACAACAUCGCUCGAGAUCACUUCUAGUUUUGUCUCAUGAAGACACAUAAUGCUCACACUGGACGCCGCCACUACUUGAAAGGCGGUACUCCGACGUGCUGGUGAGUUCAAACAAGUGCCGCCAUGAGCUGCCCAAAUGUCCGGCCGUACACACUGACCUGUAGGUUGUCGAGUGCGUCGUGGAGAAGGUCGGCGGCACUGCCGUAAUGCCUAGGCAUUGGUCGAACCUCACGCUGCGCGACCAGUCGGUGUCGGCGGCGUCAUCAGUCUCGAGCUCCACCAGGCACCAUAUCGCCGAUCUUGGACUCCAUGCAGGCGGCAUGAUCUUUUUUUUUGGGUAAAAAAACAGAUCCUUGUGGCGAGCAACGCAUGCCUUGGAUCACCUGGCCGAGGCGACGGAGGCCUCAGCGUUGCGCUGAUCGACAUCGAGGGAGGGAGCGCACCCAGUGGUCGUCGGCUUUGCUACACACACGGCAGGGCUAGUACGGGAUCAACGGAGAGGCCUAGCAAAUAAAGUGGAGGGCCCCACCCCCGCCUGAAAAUUAGGGGGAGCAGUGAUUAGUUUUGAAGGAAACUCUGUGAAACCCCCGUAAAUGUCCGUCCGCAGAACAAGCUAGGCAACCAUGGGACCCACAUGCAGGUAGUUAAGUCACCCCAAUCCCAUCAUUUUCCAAGCCACAUAGGAAUCCCAUGUUUGGAUACGAUCUAAAGGUCAAAGGCAACCGGGAUGAAGAAAAGCUGCGCGCGUGUCAGGUCGUGGCGCUGCAGCUGCCCAUCUCAUCUGGUGCGCCAGCACAGGCUCCAGUUCGCCCUCUUGGACUGCGGCCCGGUCACGCCAUCCGUGGCGGGUUCCCUUGCACCUCAGCCUCUACCCGUCGCUCCGGCCGCGACUAGGAUGCGCCUCGCCGUACCCUGUCCACCGGGUCCAGGUGGCACGCGAUCCGCCGCUUGCCACUGACCAGGGAGAAGAUAUGCACCGUCCGGCCGUAGUUGUCCUUGAUGCCGCGCCCGGACACCCAGGGGAACUGCAAUGCGUCCCCGCGGCGGCCACGUCCAUCAGCGGCGUCUCCACCUUGUGCAGGGUUCUUGAGCACGCUGCUCUGCUGCGACGGUCACCGUGGCGCAAACCUCCAGCUUCCUCUUGCACCGGCCGCGGCGGUGUACUCUGACUUGUCCAACUGCGGCAGACCGUGCGUGGGCGUGGCCGCCCACUCAUUGCGCAUGUUGUGGGGUGUCUUGAUGCAAGCCGGCUAGGAGGAGCCCGCUGCCGCUGCCACUGAGCCUGAGCGUGAGCACAAACACGAAGCCGCCAUACUCGUAGAGCUGGUUCAUCGACGGGCCCUCCCGUCGCCGUCGAUAGACAUGUAGUCCCUGACCGUGAAGUAGUUCCCCUUCUGGACGACCACCACCGCGGCGGUCGGAGCCGACGAUGACGGCAUUGCACACGUUCCGCGCCAUGUCCUCGACCACCGCGAUAAAGGUCCUUCUCGGCGAGGCUAGUCGGGAGGGACGCGAGCGUCAGUGUGAUGGACUGGCCGCUUGGCGCUUGCCUGCUCUGCUUCUACUCAUCUACUCAAGUCUCAAGGACACACACCAUGGACGCAACCACCAAAGAAACCGGGAGGGCUCCAAUCGCGAGCCAACAGCUGGCGUGGUGGACCCCGCAACUAACUUUUAUUUCUAUAUAAUUUUAUUUAGGAAAACGAUCAAAAACAGUCGGAUGAUUUAAUCACAGCUUAAGCCGCCUCCAAUGCUUGACACGCGUCCCUGUGAGGGGACCACCACCGAGCGUUCCCUUCACUGGUCAUCUAUUCACGCGAGAGAAAGCUUGUCCAGUAGUUUUCUCUCUUCUUCCCCGAGCGUUCCUUUAUCCUUAUCUCCAACGAGAACUCCAGCGACCUUCUCUUCCUUCCUUUCGAUUCGCUUUUCUCCAGCAACCAGCCGCAAGGCCGCGAAGGACGGCGUCCUCUUCGACCACCGCGUGCAUCGGUGCGGCUGCUGCUGCAAGAUCCGCCGUCACCACCCGCCUGCUGCGUCGUAGCAUCUCCGUCGCCGCCGCGCUGCGUCGUAGCCUCCGCGGUCUCCGUCGUGCUUCAUCGCAGUACCUCGUCGCCGUCGCGUCGAGUCGGGUAGCCGCGCGCGUGUCAGGUCAUGGCGCUGCAGCUGCCCAUCUCAUCUGGUGCGCCGUGCAGCACAAGCUCCAAUUCGGCGCUCUUGGACUGCUGCCCGGUCACGCCGUCCGUGGUGAGCUCCCUUGCACCUGAGCCUCUGCCCGUCGCUCCGGCCGCGACCAGGAUGUGCCUCGCCGCACCCUAUCCACCGGGUCUAGGUGGCACACGAUCUGCUGCUCGCCGCUGACCAGGGAGAAGAUAUGCACCGUCCGGCCGUAGUUGUCCUUGAUGCCGCGCCCGGACACCCAGGGGAACUGCAAUGCGUCCCCGCGGCGGCCACGUCCAUCAGCGGCGUCUCCACCUUGUGCAGGGUUCUUGAGCACGCUGCUCUGCUGCGACGGUCACCAUGGCGCAAACCUCCAGCUUCCUCUUGCACCGGCCGCGGCGCUGUACUCUGACUUGUCCAACUGCGGCUGGCCGUGCGUGGGCGUGGCCGCCCACUCAUUGCGCACGCUGUGGGGUGUCUUGUUGAAAGCCGGCCAGGAGAGCCCGCUGCCGCUGCCACUGAGCCUGAGCGUGAGCACGAACACGAAGCCGCCAUACUUGUAGAGCUGGUUCAUCGACGGGCCCUCCCGUCGCCCGUCGAUGGACAUGUAGUCCCUGACCGUGAAGUAGUUCCUCUUCUAGACGACCACCACCGCGGCGGCCGGAGCCGACGAUGGCGGUAUUGCACACAUUUCGCGCCGUGUCCUCGAUCACCGCGAUAAAGGUCCUUCUCGGCGAGGCUAGUCGGGAGGGACACACGUGUCGGUGUGAUGGACUGGUCGCUUGGCGCUUGCCUGCUCUGCUUCUACUCAUCUACUCAAGUCUCAAGGACACACACCAUGGACGCAACCACCGAAGAAACCGGACGGGCUCCAAUCACGAGCCAACAGCUGUCCUGGUGGACCCCGCAACUAACAUUUCUUUCUAUAUAAUUUUAUUUAGGAAAACGAUCAAAAACAGUUGGAUGAUUUAAUGGCAGCUUAAGCCCCCUCCAAUGCUUGACACGCGUUCCUGUGAGGUGACUACCACCGAGCGUUCCCUUAACUGGUCAUCUAUUCACGCGAGAGAAAGCUCGUCCAGUAGUUUUCUCUCUUCUUCCCCGAGGGUUCCCUUAUCCUUAUCUCCAACGAGAACUCCAGCGACCUUCUCUUCCCCUUACUUUCGAUUCACUUUUCUCCAGCAACCAGCCGCGAAGGACGGCGUCCCCUCCGACCACCGCGUGCAUCGGUGCGGCUGCUGCUGCAAGAUCCGCCGUCACCACCCGCCUGCUGCGUCGCAGCAUCUCCGUCGCCGCCGCGCUGCGUCGUAGCCUCUAUGGUCGCCGUCGUGCUUCAUCGCAGUACCUCAUCACCGUCGCGUCGAGUCGGGUAGCCGCGCGCGUGUCAGGUCGUGGCGCUGCAGCUGCCCAUCUCAUCUGGUGCGCCGUGCAGCACAAGCUCCAGUUCGCGCUCUUGGACUGCGGCCCGGUCACGCUGUCCGUGGCGAGCUCCCUUGCACCUCAGCCUCUGCCCGUUGCUCCGGCCGCGACCAGGAUGCGCCUCGCCGCACCCUGUCCAGGUGGCACGCGAUCCGCCGCUCGCAGCUGACCAGGGAGAAGAUAUGCACCGUCCGGCCGUAGUUGUCCUUGAUGUCGCGCCCGGACACCCAGGGGAACUGCAAUGCAUCCCUGCGGCGGCCGUGUCCUCGGUCCUUGUCGGCGAGGCUAGUGGGAGGGACGCGCGCGUCGGUGUGUAUAUCUUCCCAAGAGUUGGAAACAAAGAUAUGAUGGAUCUUCUCCAUUGAGCUCAAGCCUAUCGAGAAGGGCUCUGAAUCUGGCCAUCAUCCGCCUAUUGAACGUGCCCUUGUUCUUAUCUUCCGGGUUGACAAGCAAGUUGUAGUCUCCCACCAAGGCCCACGACCCAACAUGCAAAUCCUGGGCGUCACGAAUCUCUUGCAUGAAGUCAACUUUCUCCACAUCACCUUGUGGCUCAUAGACCCCUGUGAGCCACCACAAUGGAGCCCCUUCAUGCUUUGACUAGGGCAGUGGGCAUCCUCCUUCAGCAGAUGGGAUCGGAGCAGUCCAUGCCUUUUUCAACAAGUGAACAAUAUAAGAAGCGUUCAUGCUGAGUGUCUAUCAAGUCAAUAUCAGAAGUCUAAGCCGAACAAAACGAUACAUGGAAGCUGACUCCACCAUGAUCUCAACCACAAUGGUGACUGGUCACUUGUACACACAAAAUAUGCAUGAAACCUUAGCCCAAAAAAUCAACUUCUACGGCCAUCGCAUCCAAGUGUCUAACAAAGGUAGUAGUGCAUAGUAUACAACUAUUCAAUGGCGAGAUGUAAGGAACACAUGAAAACACAUCCCAUGAAUCAUCGCGAUAAAGGUCCUUGUCGGCGAGGCUAGUCGGGAGGGACGCGCGCGUACGUCGGUGUGAUGGAUGGUUGGUCUGGACCACACGCCGUCGUCGACUGGCCGCUUGGCACUUGCCUGCUCUUCUUCUACUCAUCUACUCAAGUCUCAAGGACACACACCAUGGACGCACGCAACCACCCAAGAAACCGGCCGGUCGGGCUCUCCUGCUGCUGAGCCAAUCACGAGCGAACAGCUGUCCUGGUGGACCCUGCAACUAACUUUUCUUUCUAUAUCAUUUUAUUAUUUACUCCUGAAUACUACAAACUAGUAGUACAUUUUGCCUUGCCUUAUCCCCAUGCCUACGUGCGACGCCGGCAGCGAUAGGAUUCCUUCCGACGCGGUGAGGUUCGGGACCGUGGCCAGCGGCAAGAUGGAAGCAGUCGUUGAUAAGAUGGAAGCAGUCGUUUUGAUUAAAAAACUUCAAACUUCAC